rnacentral:lncRNA from 1 species
CGUCUGGCAAGGAUGCUGGGGCGUAUAUGGUCCCACCGCAACUCUAUCGUUCCCUUUGGUCGUUAGUAUCCUUUAUCACUUGCUUUGUCUGAAGUGCGAGGUAGGAUGGUGCUUACUGGCGAUCUGGCAGCCCUUGAGCCCUCGGCUCGUAUUAGGGUGGUUUGCAGGUACGGGGAACACACCCACGACCAUGUAAAACACACAUAUGGUCUGGUCUGGGUUGACACUACUGCAAUUAGCGGUUUAAGGUCCUGGGUUCGAUUCCUGGGGAGACCCCCGAAUUAGUCGGGAGCGCGAGAUUAUGGCUAGCUGCUGAGAUGUGGAGUUGAGGUCACAGUUGAUGGACCAGAUUCGCACGCUAGAUUGGUGGCGAUUGCCGAACCCUCCGUCUCUUCGGGUGUUCGGGUGAAUGGAAGAGGAGGGAUCCCUGAAGGCUGGAUCCGCCGCCUUGGACUUACAGUUCGUAUGGCGAAGUACAGUGUGGUAGUGGUGGAUGGUGCUAUAAGGUGAUAAAUGAUCUAGAACUGACAAUGUGAUAAAGCGGCCCAGAAGCCUCCCACUCUGUAACAUUACAUUACAUUACAUUACAUUACAUUACAUAUAACACACACACAGCUCAGGGAUAUCCUUAUUAAACUUCCUGAUGUGCUAGUAUAGUAGCCGAUGGAUAGAUGUUGUAUCCAGUGGAGUGGUAGCUGCACACACCAAUCACCUACCAUGAUUGAUGCCAUGCUGGUGACUGCAAUACAUGUGCCUGCUCUACCAUAUACCAAGCAACUACUCACCGCAGGGAGGCGGGCCACGUUUGGGCUCAGCACCCUGUGUCGAGAUAAGAAAAUUACCACCCCCAAGCUAUGUAUGUCUCUCUAUAAUACACUAGGGAGGAAAACGCAGGGGUCACCCAAGGUAUUCGGGCACUCCCACCGUGCAUCAAGCCGCUUAGUAAAUACCUUAAGAAUGCUCUCUACCGGCAAUGUAAGGGUGGCGUAACGUGCUAUGAGAUCAUCACCGCGCUAAUUAGUGGGUGGUUCCGCGCUAGUAAGAAAGGCUAGUACCUUGCUUGUUCAGCACUCAGUAACACCCUCGAGUGCCAACUCCAGGUCGGCGGCAAAGGCCUGAUGACACAGCGUUCCCGGCCUCUCUACCACGGAGUUCCAAAACCUAAGUACAAGAUUGGUGCAAUGGAACUGGAGCGGCCUCUGUGACACCUCGCGGUGUAGGGAAACCAUAGUCGGGCUCCUCGCCCCAACGACAGAUCGCAUAUACGCACGCUGCUCCUGGACCACGGGAUUAGUCAUAUCGCCUUCAAAAUUAACACUUAUGAAGUCAUGUCCCCAAACUUUUGCUCCAUAGGAAAACACCGGUACAACUAGUGUAUUAUGAACAUCCUGGCCGGCAGACUCUUACCAGGGUUGCCCUCAGAAGAUGUGUACCUUUACGGAGCACAUGCUUGCUGGCAGCGUGCCGAAUUGCGAGCAGGAGCUGCGAAGAGACAUGCAUAGCUUGGGGAUGGUAUUUUUCUUAUCUCGACACAUACUGCUGAGCCCGAACGUGGCCCGCCUCCCUGCUGCGAGUCGUUGCUUGUUACAUGCUGAAAAUUGCGCUCCUGGGCCAUAGUGCAACCCGAGGUACCGUGCCGCCUUGUUGUAGCGCGGUAGCUACACAGUAAUGAUAAGUUCAUUAAGAGUUAUGCAAGUCUGAUUAUGAGUAAGAAAUCCUUUGAAACAGAUAUGGCUGUCAAAGAAUUAUUUGUAAUACACCGGAACUAACGGAACUUACCAUCAAGGAUCUGUACGGCAUUCAUUCCUGAAAUCCACGAACUUAUCGAAGUUGUCUUUGCUCACAGCAACACGUAGUCGUGUAAAAAUUUAUAUUCUGUUCACGUUAGGAGCGAGGUUGGAUACCGUGGUCGAAGCAGUGCCGGCCUGAGACAGACUUCACGUGUCUGUUGGCAUUGCAUUAAGCUACAAACAUCUUUGGUGUCUCGGUACGUCUUUAAACUAUAUACUGAUUAAGAAAGCAGAGAAUUUGCCUAGUUUAGGUUGUCAGCCGCCUCCGCAUCUUUGGGGCGACUGGGUCAACCUCUCCGUGGAUGAACGCAAAUCCACUUCGCCACGUCAGCGAAGCGUUGGUCCAAGUUCCUCCAGCUGGCCUACGACUCUCCGUUCAAGGUUGGCGGCUUUGGACGCCACAAUCUGAUAAACCGCAAUGAGCCCACCGACGCCUACCGAUUCAAAAAACGUACAUGACGCUGUUGUUUCUCAACAAUUCACGAAUCCACCGAACCUACUGAACUCGGCGAAGCCUCCGAACACCGAACCGGCUAGGGAAGCUGGCGGCUCCGCCGAUCCCUCACAUACCGAAUACGAAUUACUUACACUCAAACUCAAACUCGUCCAAGCGGAAAUCGAGUUGGCACGUUUGAAAGGCGCUGGUGCCGGUCCUUCGACUGCACCCGCUCCGAUAGUGAGUACCGAAGCUGCAAGUAUAUCGCGUACCUAACCACCUAAGCACGUUUCACAUUCCGAUCCUAACCACCGCAGCCGAUCAAGAACAGGAGCCUGGAGACUUUUGUGAACGAUUUCCAGGAACGGGCAGCGAAGUAUGUCCCAAACAAUUUGGACGACGCACUGUGGCAGCUUCGGCAUUCCCUUUGCGAAGAUCCGUCUGGUGCCGCCGAAUGGUUCUCUGAAUACCGGACCAAAUUUGAAACCACGAAUAAACCGAUCCACUUUCCGGACGUCCCGAAGGCCUUCCUGGAUUAUUUCGAACCGAAGGUACGCACUCAGUCGAUGCACUCGAAUCUUUACUGAAGGGGGAGGUUAAGAUGGACGAAAACUAGGUACGAUUGUGCAAUUCCUAUUGUUAAAAAAAAUUGCAGACCCCCCGGCAGGGUCGAUCUCGCGCGGCUAUCCACUACGCUGCUGCCGCCCCCUCGAAAAUCAAACACCGUCCUCAUGUUUCUCGGCAGGAUGGGUCGAAGCCAACGGGAAAGCGGACUAUCGAACAGCAACCCUGGCGCGAUGCUGUGGCGAAGCGCGUCAAGGUGGAUUGCCCUCCAACAACCGAAGCCGCACCGAACAACGUCCGUCAGACAGAACAUCCUGCCACGUCGACGCCCACAUUUCCUGAUCGGUCUGUGCCUACUCCUUCAUUCCUGUCGAAAACCACAUCAGAUGCCAAGAUGACGCUGAUGCAAGCUGCCCUGGACCGACCCAACGAGCCAUCCAGAACCCCGAAUCCCCUGUGGCCUGGAACGUUCUUGUCGAAUUUGGAGAAGUAUCAAUGGAUGAAGCAAGGGAAAUGCUACCGUUGUGGAAUUCAGAAUGAUCACAUCAGUUCCCGUUGCCCGAAUCCGUUGGUUUCUCCGGACAUGUUUCGCCGACCGAAAGAUCGAUAGGACAUUGCCCAGUCGUAUUUGCGUGGCAUGCGUACUGAGGUAACGGAACUGCAUGGUUUCCUUAUUAGUGAUUUUAUGUUAAUUGCGACAAGUUGAGAACAGGAUCGGAUAUGCGUUUUCUCUAGCGACGAUGGUAGCAAUUCUGUUUGUAGAACGUUUGCUUCUCCUACUCCGAUUGACACCAUUGGAAGAAGAUAAGUUGUAAAGCAGGUAAAGGACUUGCUGGCUAAAGGGUUCAUUCAACCCUCGACAUUUCCUUUUGGUGCGCCAAUCCUCUUUGUGACCAAAAAACCCGGUGAACUCCGAAUGUGUAUCGAUUUCCGAUCUCUGAAUCAAACUAAUGUUUAAGAACCGAUGUCCAUUACCACGAAUUGACAAUGGAAAAUGAGCAGGGAUUCCACAGGCAAAACAUCCUGCCGGUGCUCGCAUGCACUGAUCCGCCAUAGCGCUCCUGCCCAGGCUAUGAAGGUGUUGUUCACCCAGGCCUCCAUUACAUCGUUUGGUGAAAACCCUAAUACCCUAAGCCUCCAUCACAACAAGGGUAAACCACGCCAUCAGUUCCGGUGCCUUGAGCCUUGACCCAGUUGACAGUGGAACAGUCCAGCGCAGUACGGCAAUAGCUGUUUUCAGGUUUGACAACAACUGGCAGCAUGUCUUUGUGGGCAAGGUCGACCAGGUGCAUGCUACACAUCCUCAUGUAGUGUCCAUCACGCCCAUACGUUUCUCCUCAAUCCUGCGUGCGGAGGCACAAGGCCAGAGUGGCUGUCUCUUCCACAGCUGCAAUUUUCACACCAGGGUUUCCACGGUGCAGGGCGACCCAAACCCUAAAACCCCAAAAGACCGUUCCAACAAAAAUCAAGAAAUGGAGAACUCUCAUGCACAUGCAAAACCCCCGCCACCCCCCACUCUCCCUCUUGUGGUAUCCGCUUCACUCGUCGGUGGUUAGUCUUAUUACCCGCUCUCCGUCCUCCGCAGCAACCCAGCAGCAAUCCUCCAUACCUCCAUACGCAUCCGCAGGGUCAGCAGCUUACCACCGGCCCGGCAUCUCGCCCCAGGACACUCACACCGCCGCCGCCCUUGGGGGCGCAGGCUGUGAUACCGACUCUACUUCUACCAGGCGCUCACGUCCCGUACGAGAGACGUCGAGGCAAACCCAACCCCCGACCCCAAACCCCACCCGCCACCACCACCAUGAAGCGACGGAGCCGGCGACGCAGCCAGCAGCCGUGCCGUACGCGCCAGGUCAACGGUCGGCAGAGUGGCGGACGCCAAUGGCGCUGCCGUACCAGCGGCGGCGGCGUCUCGCAGUGACGCCAGGCAGCGUGAGGCCAGGUCAGCCUGUACGACAUUGCAGGAGCAGUACGACGACAGUGAUCGUGGUGAAAAGAGGAUUCCCCACCACCCGCGUGGAAGUGGCGGGGAACUAACUCCUCCACUCGGGGGUACGUGCGAUGAAGGGAAAGAGGAGUUGCAGCAACCUUACAACAACCUUAAAACAACUUUACAACGACCUUACAACGACCUUAACGCACAUAGGCAAUAACGGGUUACGGCCCCUAGGACUGGGUGGAGUAUUAUGAGCUGCGCGACCCCGCUAGAGGGCGGGGCGGUUAUCCUGCGCUUCAGAUAGGGCUGGUAGGGCGGUGUGUAGGGCACUGCGCUGCAACGGGACCGGCACCAGCAGCUGUAGCAGCCACACCUCCGACUGCCAGCCACCACGUAUACUCCCUCUGCCCCUCCUCUGGCACACACACACACACACACACACACACACACACACCGCCGCCGCCCAGCUGGCAUUGGUCGGGCAUGUUGCAGAAAACCACACCCCCUCCCUAUCCCGUACAGCUGAUGUCCCGGUGCUUCCCCUGCAAACCCCCUAACCCAGCCCUGACCUCAUCAACACCCCAUCCCCCCAGCUAACCCCCUCUUUCCCCCCAUAACCCCCGCCCGCACACGUCACCCCUAAACCCACCUGCAAAUUGACACACGCCUGCGCCAUCAGGCGGCAAUGCGGAUCCACGUCAUCCUCCGACACUGUACGGCACCACCGGGAAACCCACUCGAGCCGUUCCGCCAAGCCAUCACCACAGCCAUCGCAGCCGCCGACGACGACGACGACCCCUCCGGCGCCUGCAGUGCCUGCAGCGGCAGCAGUAGCCCCCAGCAGCGCCCCUGCUACCGCCGGCGGCGGCAGCUGAGCGAGCACCUGACCCGCCGCCAGCAAGGCAGCUCGCCGUACGUACGGCUCGGGAUGACUAUGAACCUGCGGGUCACGGGGAGUCGGCGGGCGAGUGGGGCGGAUAGCGCUGUUACGUAGCGUUGAUAGGUAAGCCGGAGAGGCGCGGGACCGCCCUUUACUUCUGUGUUUGCAUUUCUCCGGGUUACCUUAUCCUAUUACGUAAUGCUGUUGAAGAAGAAGAUGAUGAUGAUGAUGAUGAUGAAGACCAUAGGCGUCGGAGUAGGCGGAGGCCGGGAGCCGUCUCGGCGCUCGUACGGACGUCACUCGACCCCCCGCCCCGCCCAUUCUAACAACAACAACCAACAACAACAAUAAUAACAACCAAACACAGCACAGCGCAUAGCAUAACAUCACCAACAAGUAUCACCAACAAGUACUCAGGGGUCCCUCCCCCCGUUCCCUAGGGUUUCGGAGCCCCCAUUCGGCUUUCAUUGCAUCAACCCCCGGGGCCCCCCCUUCCCCCCAACCCCACCCCACCCCACCCCACGUAACCUGCGGCGCCCGAAUGAGCUCCAGGGUGGCUCUCGCGAGUGACGUCAUUGCCGUACUACCCGCUGCCGCCUCCGCAAACGUCGCCAAGGUGGUGAGCACCCUCCCCAGCAGCUGGUGGUCCCGGCCCAGCAGGUCCACUCCGUGCUUCACCUUGUCCACCUGCCGGGGGCGGGGAAGGGGGAAGAGGGGGGCCGAACUGUGUGUGUGUACGUGUGUCUCAGCGUACUUGCGGUGUGUGUGUAUGUGUAUGUGUAUUUGGGGGGGGGGAUGACGGCACGCGAUCUGGCCAAGAGGGGAGUCCCCCCGGGGGUUGGGGGGCCGCCCGAACGUGAGGUGGUGUUGGUCCGCAUGACCACGGUGGGAAGACACGCGCGAAGCUCCACGACGGCGGCAAAACACGCGACGGACUUGGCGGAGUACGGGCCCCGGGGGGGAGGGGGAGUGCUUGUGCUUGUCUACGGCGGCAGUAGUUCCCUCUGAAAAGUGACAAGGUGCGGCUGCGGUUGCUGUUGCGGUUGCGGUUGCGGUUGCGGGUAUGGGCGCGCCUGGGGUCACUGGGCCUCCGCACAUUGCUGGGCCGCUGUUCAACGCAUACAAGGGCUCUCGGCUGUCCCCUCCCCCUCCCCCUCCCCCUCCCCCUCCUCCCUCCUAGCCUAUCCGUCUAUCUCUGAUAUCUGCUUCAUUCGCCAGUGGUUCGUCUUAACCCCCACCCCACCCCGGUCUUCUCCCCUCUUCGCCCACCCCUACCCCACCCCUCUACCCCCCUCCUCUUCCUCCGAAACCCACCUCCCGGAGCAGCCCAGCCGCCCACCGCAACGCCACAUCCGCGAAGCGAUUUCGAAACGCGCCGCCGCCUCCGCCGCCGCCACUGCCCGCAGCCGGCCCUCCCGAACCAACGCCGCCGCCAGCCGCCGCCGCCGCUGCCGCCGCCUCCUCCUGCUCCUUCAGCUUCCGCAGCGCCACGGGCGCCCACACUCGCGUCCUCGGACCUCCCCCCCGAACCACACCCACCGCGCUCCUGUCCACCGAUGCAUUACCCCCGCCACCCACAUACCCAGUCCGCUGCCCCACGGGAGCUUUGCGGGUCGAGGGGGGAAGGGCGUGGGGUUGGUGUAUUGUGGUUUCGGGGCGGGUGAGGAGCGGUCUGCCCCCGGGUCCUUGCGUGAGUCGUGGAGCGACCCUUGGGUCGGCCAGCUCCGCCGCUGCUGCCGCCAGCGCGUCCAGCAGCGUGAGGCGCUGGUGCAUGUCCAAGUGGGGCGAGUAAAUCUCGGGGAGAAGGGCAUCGCCCGCUGGGGGUUAGAGGGGGCCCGGCGGUUUUGGGGGGAGGGGAGAGAUAGGGGGGAAGUCAUACACGAGAAGAAAACAAUUUAGGUAGACGGUAGGCGGGGUCGGGCAUAAAAGCGAGAUAAAGGGUGUUGUAGGGACUUGUUAUUGAUCUGAGCAGCGCCAUGAGGGAAAUGCCGGCGGGGGAUGUACGCGAAUAACUUUACCGAAGCAAGCUCCCUAGUCACCAGCAGCGAAUUACACUAUUUCAGGAUUACAUAAUACAGUUAUCCUACAUAUAUAUAACUGAAAUAGGAUAUCUAUAUCUACAUACAUACUUCCGAGGUUACAUCCUAACCAAGGCUAGCGCACAGAGCAGGAGGGGUGAAUGCCUCCUCAAGCAGGCCCAAUGGCUACCCCCCAAUGGUCGGCCCCAACGCAGGGAAAGGAACCACCCCUCCGUGGUGCGGUAUUCACACAGCCCACCCCUUGGAGUAACCUACUCCACCCUGGCCCCAACGUCCCCCCCCUUCCUCCCCCCUCCCCACCUUUCAAGCACCCACCGCCUCCCAAUGGUGUCCCCAGUGUAGCUCCGAAACCACAGCUCCGGAACCACAGCCCAUCCCGUCCCAUCACAGCUGCAGCCUGAAUCCCCCCCCCAAGGGUCCUCCGCCCGACCGCCGUCAUUCGCACACCAGCAAGCCAAGCAGCCACCUAACCCCGCCAUUACACACUUUACUGCCGCCAUCCUCUUCCGUGCCGCACUUGCCAUCGCCGCACCCACCCGCACCUCGGCCGGCUGACUGGCGUCUCGGCCUCCGUACACUCACCACCUCACUUUACCGCCGCGUCACCCCUCUCCCCCCCAGGCCCCUUUCCCCCCUUCCCUGAACCCAGUCACUCGUCAUUCCCCCUCCUCCCCCUCCCCUUCAUCAUCGUCAUCAUCAUUCGCACACUCAUUGACCCACCGGCAAGCGGCACCAGGGCCAGCAGCGCCACCAAACUGCGCCGCCGCUGAGCCAGCGCCGACGACGAACCCGCCGCCGCCACCGCCGCCGCCGCCGCUCCGACGGCGGAGCGACCCGCGGGUCCCACUACCCCCGUCGGGCCCUGACGGGACCGGCCCACACCACCACGUCCUACCCCCAGAUUCGGCCCCUCUCCGGGCGCCGGACGCCCAGGUGACCCAUGGGUCACCUCCUCCUCAGACCCCCCGGCCGACUGCUCGUCCACAUCCGCCUCCAUUUCGGCCCACUCCGGUACUCGGCAGUGCAGCAGCGAGCGAAUGAGCUCCGGAGCCAUAAGGCCCAACUCGUCCGGGGCGGCCCGGAUGACCUCCUGCAUGCGGGGAGGAACGGGGGGGAGGGGAGGGAGUUCUACCCCAUGCGUGUGUUUGUGUUCGUGUGUGUGUUCGUGUGUGCUUGUGUUCGUGUGUGUUUGUGUUCGUGUGUGUGUAUAAGAAUUCGGACGUGCUGAAGACAUAUACAUAUGUGCUAUAUGCAAUACAUGUACACAGAAAACAAGCGUGGUAAUACGUAUAACUGAAGCAUCUCCGUACAGGCGCACUGCAUGCCGUACUAUGCCGUACGAUACCUCCAGUUGCUUGAGGGCCGCCAACACGGUUUUAACGUCGUCUUGUUUCCGAAGAGCCGCCGCCAGGGCACGCAGCUGCAGCGCGGCGGGCUCCGCUCGGUGCCAGGCCUCCGCCUCCGCAUCCCCCUCCAUCUCGUCCACCGUACCCAGCGGCCGUAACUCGUCGCCGUCGCUGCCGUCGCCACUGCCGUACUCUGCGUCUUCGCCUCCGUCGGUUUCUUCAUCGUCGCUGUCAGUUGCCGUACAAAUGCUAUCGCUGUCGACGUCGUCGUGGCCCUCCGGGGAAGGCUCAACGGACCCGCCGCCGCCGCCGCCGGCCGCCGUCGCGCUUGAAGCAGCGGCGGUGCAAAAAGGCUGCCGAGAAGUCUUCGUCGCCGCCGCCGUCGCCACAGACGCCGCCGCACCCUCCUCCUCCGCGCCCGUACACGCCAGCCCCGCGUCCCUCCCUGGAGACGGAGGUCCCCUCCACACCAGCUGCCGUCGCUGCGCACCUGGUGGUGGAGGCGGCGGAGGCCGUGUUGGGUUGGGUUAUGAGGGAGCAGGUGUGGACCCCUUCCCCCCCGGGGGCCGGGGGGAGGGGGGCGGGGCCGGGGGAAGGGGGAGGGGGAGGGGGAAGGCGGGAGGGGGGAGGGGGAGGGGGCAGGGGGAGGGGGAAGGGGGAGGGGGGAGUGGGAGGGGGGAGCGAAGUAGAGAACAGAUGUUAGAGAACCGCAACAGAUCUCUCCACCAUACCCACACCCAUAACCAACCCGACCCCAUCACACAAACCCGCUUUAACCAACUCGCCUUCCCAAUACACACACACGCACAUACACACGCACACACAUACACACACGCACAUACAUACACGCACAUACACAUAUACACACGCACAUACACACCCAUACACACGCACAUACAUACAUACAUGCACACGCACCUGGCCAAAGCUCCUCUGGUGCCAUCCCCAGAUCCCCCAUGUCGCCGAACAGCUCACUGGCGGGGUCCAGCACCAAGCUGAAUCCGCGGCCUACACGCAUCGCCUGCCGCUGUGUCGCCACCAGCGGGCUGCCUAGCCGCUGGCUCACACCCCCCAACAGCCCCGUCAGCAACCCAGGGGUGACCUCAACAGUCUCCCGGUCCAGCCGGGCUAAGACAAGCAGCAGCGCCUGGGUAAGAUAUGCCUGACGUUGUACGGAUGUACGAGUUACGGCGGCGGCGUCGCCCCAGGUCGAAGCCAGCGUGACGGCGGCGGCGGCGGGCUGGGUGGCGGGGUAGGCAGCGGCGAGCAGCGCCGUCAGGAGCCGGAGGCAGUCGAGAGGCAGCGGCGGCCGCUGCAGCGACAGCAGCAGCCGGUCGGUAAGGGUGUACGACACGGCGGGAUGUGACGUCAGGGCUGGCGGCAGGAGCCAUAGGAGGGCGGAGAGCGCGGCGGCGGCUGCGGCGGGGGGUAGCGGCGGCGGCGAGAGGCCUAGGAGUGCCUCACGCUGCUGUAGCUGCUGUAGCUCUUGUUGCAGCCGCUGCUGCUGCGGCGUCGGCGUCGGCGUCGGCCUCGGCGGCGAAAGCUGAUUGCCAGCUGUCGCGGCCAAUGCCGGCCGCGCCGCGCGAUCCAGCAGCGCCGCCAGCAGCCGUUCCAGUGCCGCCGAGCUUACGUCAGCUAGCUGCAACAAGGCUGCCGUACAGCCCUCCUGCAGCCGUCGGCUACUCCCAUCGUCAUCGCUGUCGUGCCCUUCAAUGACGUCGUACGCUGCCCGCAGGCUGGUCGUACACGACAGCAGUGCGUCCGCCGCCACCGCUGCGUAGCCCCGCUUGGCUAGGCGCUCCAAUACCUCCGCCAGCAAGUCCACUGCCGCCGCCGCCACCAGAGGCUCCAGUACGGCAACACCUGUGCCGCUCAGUCCGCCGCCGCCAUAGUCGCCGCCGACAGGCCCAGGCCCGUCGUCACAAGUGCCCUCUCCGUUUGCGGCUUUUGUGUACGACAAUCUGCAGCCACGUAGAGCGCCACCGUCGGCGACAUCCCAAGACGCCAGCGAUGCCGUACAUUUAUCCAGGCCACGCCUCAGCCGCGCCGUCGCUGCCGCCACGCUACGCCCCGGGUUCGCCAACGCCGCCAUCAGCUGCUGUAGCAGCCGCCAGUAAAACGCCUCAGGCUGUAGCCGCUGCAGCUCUGAAAGCUCCGGUGACGCCGCCGCUGCUGCCGCCAGCAGGCCUCCCGCGCGAUCCGGCACCGAAACCAGUAGCGCCGCAAGCGACGCCGCACUGUACAAUCCACCGUACAUGCCCGCUACGGUUCCCCGUAGCGACAGUGACGAGGACGGUGUUGCCUCGCUGCUGGGGGCAGCUGGCGGCAGGAGCAGCAGCAGCGGCAGCAGCAUCCCGAGGACGCCCUCACUAGCCGGUGACUGCUGCCCGCGGUCGUGUCCCGGCCCUUCAGUGCUGGGCAGCGGCGAUGGCGGCUGCUCCCGUACAGCAGUCCCCGUCGCCGCCGCCUCUGCCGCCAAUGCUGACAAUGACCCACGGGUCAGUGCCGAAUGCACCGCCAGGUGCAGCAGCAGCUCCGAAACCCCGCAGCACCCGGGCGCGGCGAAGCGCUGUGCGAGGCAGGCGGCCGCCACGUCCGCCCCGCGGGAGGUCACCAGGGCGCGGGACCCUCCCUCUCGUCCUCCCCCCCCUCUCCCCCCUGCUGCUGCUGCUGCGGCGGCGCCCCGACAUCUUCCCGCCCCCGUGUCGCCCUCCCGCACCCUUCCCUCGCCCCUCGCCCCCCUGGGCCCCUCCGUCCCGGAUGACGCCCCACCGGCUGCGGACGUGGCCCUCAGCCUCAGGGGUGUCACCAUGGAGAGGUGACUGGGGCCCGGGGGAGAGGGGGAGCGACAGGGGGAGAGGGGGGCCAGGUGAGCAAAACCAGGAUAAGGUCAAGUUAAAGAGAGCCGGGGAACCCGGGGGUUGCUUGGCACACGCGGUGAGCAGGCACCGUUGGGUACGGCAAAAAAACUGCUGGCGUAGACAGGGAGGAGGCAGAAUGCCGUACAGCGGGGCGUAGGCGCCAACAGUGGGGUUUUUAACCAAAUGGCAGGUGGGUGACACGGUGGGUUGUGUGUGUGUGUGAGGGGGGUUUGAGGUAGGGAGGCAGAGGACGGCAAGGAGGAAGGGGGGCGGAACUGAAGACGCCGGCCGCUAGCCAGGGGUCCUCGUACCAACGGACAGCAACGGAGAACCAACAAAGACCAACGGCAACCAACACAAACCGACUCAACGACUUUGGGCCAUCAACGUAUACACAACCUCCAACUACCUGACGAGGCUUUGCAGUAGCACUGGGGCGGGUGCAAGCUGUAGCAGGGCCGCCAGCAGUAGGGGCAACCGGGCCCCGGGACGCACAGCCACCGGCUGCUGCUGCUGCUGCUGCUGCUGCUGCUGCUGCUGCUGCUCCGGUUUUGUUGUUAUGGUAGCCGCCGCUUAGGGUCGUGGGAGCGGCGCGGGAGAUACAAGGGGAGUUCAACAUCAUGGAAGGGGGGGAACGGGGAUGGGGGAGGAGGAAAGGCCUGAGGUAAGCCGGGGAACAAGGUAACCAUCAGGGAGGUAGGGCUGAUGAAAAGAAUUGCUAACGGCUAACGGACAACCUUUAGACGUCCCAAAAUAUAUGACGAGGGUGGAGCUGCCUCUGCAGCAGCAGGCUGGCGGGCUGGACCCGGGAGGCCUGCCAAAAGGGGUUGGGGGGGGAAGGAGGAGGGAGGAGGGCGCUGUUGCAGUUUUGUCAACCAAAUUAUAGCAGUCAACCUGACGACGCCUGCGCAAACUAUUCUUUAUCCGCAGUCUUUGCCUUCAGACACCUGGGUUCCUAAGGGCUUUUCCAUCUCCCAGGAUUCUGCUCCGAAACCACAUCGUAAUACCCUUUCCCUGCGCCGCGCCAGCCCCCUUGGCCUCCUGUCGCCUACCGGGUAGGAGCAUCGCAGCCCACUGCUCGAAGUAAAGACAGAAGAACGCCGCGCGCACCGAGUCGGCAACGGUGGACGCGCCCAACCGCUGUCGGGCGGCAUCGAGCUCGUGCAGGUAAAGGAGCACCGACUGCCUUGCUGCCUCACAACCCUGAAAUGUUUGGCCUGAAGCGUAUUUCAGAGCGUCCGGUUCUCCAGCGACUAGAGCAGCGUGUAGGACGCGCGCCAAAGAGCCGACGACGUCCAAAUCGUCUGUGCUGUCGGCAAGUCUGCACGCCUCCUUUACGAGGCCACGGAUGGGGACCUCGAGUUCUAACAUCGAUGCCGUCAGUCACACUGAUAAUUGCGCAGACACGGAUGAUACGGUGAAAAAGGCUCCCGAACAACGCCGCUGAUGACAGUUGUCGGAAUAGAUAAUUAUUAAAGCACAACUGCACCCACUAAUCAUAAAAAUACACCACAGCGACUUUGCAUAUUUAAAAAGAUGUUUCUCGUUGAAACACUUGGCCGAUGUCCAAGAGGUCCCGGAGGUCGCAUCAACGUUUCUUAAUACAGACACAACUAAAGUUUUGGCAGCGUGAAACAAUCUUAUGAUAGGCCCUAGUCUGAUGUGUCCGAGACCUAAGCAACAACUGUAGCUCGUCCCGAACCUUAUGUAAUCAUCAACUGACAUUAUUAACUGAAAGAUGCAGACCUCUUAAUCAGAAGCUAAAAUGACCUGUAGAGCGUGAGAAUACAAUUGCUUAGUUCUAGAAGCUUGCAAUCCGCCUUCACCUCAUCACAUCUGUCUCUCUUCAAGCAGGAUGUUGAAGCCACAGCCGACCCGCGGAUGGCCCUGCUCACUGCUGUUCCGGCCUAGCAACAGGCACUCCUCCUCAUUCUAGGCGACCAUGAUACUUCAAAAUUUCUCACAUAUCCCUAUCACCAAGGCUUAGGUAUACGGUACAUGUGAAUUAUUCCAUAGGCCCUGUACGGGCCUUGUAGGCCCGUACGCCGCUGCCACUUCCCAACUGCCCCGGCUGAUCCAGACCUUGUGCAAUGACCUGUGCGAUCAUUCCUGCCCACCUGGACCAUUGGUUGACCAUUAUGAUGGCAGGUUGACAAUGCGUCUGCAGGGCUUGAAGGGAACGGCUAGGGACGGCGACAAUGGCUGAUGUGCAUCAGGUCUGUGCACCAACAUGCAGCUUUAUGCUAGCCUCUGCAUGCGGGUUUUGGAGGCCUGACCUGGAUUUUGGAAAGCCAGGCAGAAGGUAGAUUUCUUCAAUCACGACGAUCCUACACAUCACGACAUCCCUGCACGGAUCUAUACCCCUGGAAAGGCCCAGAUUUGGUCUCCGACAGUGUGCGGGUUAAAGUCAGUCGACCGUUAGAGGGUGGAUGUGAUGUGCUACCAUGCCGAUGGACGGUGAUCGACCCGGUUACUGUGAGAGGAACCUGCGACCCGACCGGGAGAGGAGAGGAGCUGUCGGCGCCGUUGAUUGGGGCUGGGGCCAGAUUCCACUGGAUGCAUGCUGGUGGCGUUGGUGGUGGGAGUGGUGAUGGUUGGUGGGAGUGUGUGUGUAUGUGUGUGUAUAUGUGUGUGUAUGUGUGUGUAUAUGUGUGUGUGUGUGUCAUCUGACAGACCUGCGCCUGUUCGUAGAGCCCACACACCCUAAGUGGCUGCUGGGGACCUCACUCUGCGGGGGUAAGUUAAUGAGCUGCUUCGGCACCCUGCAGCCCUUAAUCCCUAAUGCUCAAGGUCCUGGUCUCACUGUCGUAAAUGGCUGUACAUAUGUAUGUAUGUACGUAUACACUCGGCUGGUCUGCUUGAGAAAGGUGCACUGUAUUACUUCAUUACGUUUCGGCGCCAUUACGUGGAUAAGGUAAAAAGAUCUUCGGAGUCGCCGCGGUGAGUUGCCGGUAGUGGUGGUGGUAGUAUACAAGCAACUUCAUGCCGAAGCGAGCUCCGUUGUCGGCGACGACGUGUUGGACAGUUGGUCACCAUAUGUUGAACAGAAUAGUGAUGGUGUCCAGAGCCCCAGAGAAAUAAGCGAAGAGCUUCGAUGCUAUGAGUUAGGUCUAAAUAAGCCUGAUUGCGCCAAUCAGGGUGCGGGCAGUUGAUCCCAUACGAACGAAUUCGGCUUUACUAAAGCUAACCAGCAACGAGCUCGCGCAAUCGCGAACCAGUUGCAUCUAUUCGCUGCACCCAUGUUUGACCACUUUCUGGACAAGCGUGUGUUGUAUGAUGUUCAACUGCUGUUACAACUCACACUUCUGAUCUAAAAAUUCCUGACGAAAUUCAUCCGGAUUUUCAGAGAAGGAAAAAUCGCUGUUCUAGGUCCUGCAAGGACGGCUGGACAUUGAAGAUGGCGAAUAACUACGUCCAACUGACAAGCGCUACCUAUCCAUACCACCCACAGUUUGGCGGAGAGCAGGAAAGCUCCUUAAUGACAUGAUAUCUUCAAUUUGGCUGAAAUAGAGAUGCUACAGGUGCUACAGGUAGGUAUUAUGGAACCUAAAAACCGCUAGCAGUCGCUCACCGCAUAUUUCUGAAGUCAAAGAGCCCGCCACCGUAAGGGCCGGAUUAGUUGGGGCGAGCAUCCGUAUGAUACGAAGGGCUCACUUACAACCUUUGUAACGCUCUCCGCCUAAGCGAGCCCCACGCACCACGCACGAACGAAUUUAGGCCCUUUUCGGUGAUAUCCAAAUUUUUUGGAAGCGCGAUCGCGCCCCGUUUUAUUGUAAUAAUUUUCCGUGUUCCUGAAUCGAGUAAUCGUGUUAUCGCGAGUACCCGUUAGCAUUAUGUUUCCUCUCGUACCGUGGGGCCAAGACCCACUUACUUCGUCUACUCAUCGAUUCGUUACCGUUACGCCUGUGCGUGACGAUCUCAUCGUCCCGCCGUUACACCUGCCGCUGGUACGUUUUGUCUGUUUUCGAUGGACGUCCGUCAGCUUAGUGCGUCCUACGCCUCGGCUCUAUGAUCACCGCAGGUCUUUCCUGGUAAUCCUCUCCCUGCCAUGCCUCCGCUUGCUGCGGGCCCUAUCCGUCUCCCGAGGUCGGCGCCGCCGCCUUUAGACCCUGUCGCGGCUCUGUAUUACUCUGAGUUUACCGGGGACGUGUCGGUGCGGCCGCCGCUCACGGCCGCCUUGCUCUCGAUCUACCAGGUGCACCAACGUCAGUGGGUCUCGGAGAGCUGGCGGCGGGUUCAAAGUGCUGCGCGAGAAUUUCAUGGCUGGUUGCAGCGCCAGUCUCUCGGGCUCACCUUGCUCACCUGCGAUCCUAUGUCCAUUGUUUCGUAUCUGGUGGGAUGGUGGUUCCCCCGGCACCCUGGGCGUCUGCGGGCUGACCGGCGUCCCAGCGCCAGUGCUGUGAAAGGGGUUAUCUCGAGCCUUGCGACUGCUUUUAAGCAGCUGGGCCGGGAAGGGGACUAUGACGCCUCUCAAAGCCGCGGGAAUCCUUGCGACAGCUCCUUGGUGCGAGGCUAUGUCAAGGGCUACGGGCGGGACCUUAGUGACGCCGGUUAUGUGGAGCGAGGCGCCAUCCCUUUGACCGCGGAAAAGUUUCGUCGCCUGGCCUGCCAUCUGUGGACUGCGUCCGGCGACGAAGAGCAUUUGUUUGCUCGCAGUUUGGUGCUUCGGGACUUGUCUCUAUUUGCUUUAAUGUGGCAUACGUAUCAGCGCGGUCAUGAUGUCGGCAAGCUGGUGUUAAGUGAUUUCAGGGAUCCGGUGCAUGGCCGUACCGAGUACCAGGGCUGGCCGUUACCCCUACCCGCGCCUGACGGGAGUGUCUCUCCCGACACUGUACUCCGUAUCGAAGAAUUAAAUACCAAGACGUACAAGGGUCAGCGUGCUCCUGCGACGAUGUUGCGUCCGGAUCGUGAUCCUAUCGUCUGCGCGCUGCGGUUUCUUGCGGUGUACAUGAGCAUGUGUACGAGGGCCGGUACCCCUAUUACCCAAUACCUCUUCCGUCCGGCGGAGCGCAGUGGCCGCGCAUAUCGGGAGGCGCCGAUGACGACCGAGGCCCUGGAAUAUCGCCUCGUCGCUCAUCUUACCGCUGCUGGGCUAUACGGUGGAGAGACGGUGCACAGUUUUCGUCGGGGUGCUUUGCAGCAUGCCCAGUCUCAGGGGGUCUCCGAUGAGGAUCUCAUGCGCUCCGCGCACAUCCGCUCUCUGGGUACUCUGCACCGCUAUCUGGAUCCUACUAGGCACCUCGCCCGCCUCCCGGCCGGCGGGACGGGGACGGGGCUGGUGGUUUCGGAGAGUGAUGAUGAGUGAUAAGUCUGUGCAUGUUUGGUCCUGUCUCACGAGGGUGGGGAGGGAGGGCGACCUCGACUUUUUCUAGUCUUUCUCGUCGUCUAUUUUCUGUAAUCCGUCUUAAUAAAGCUUAGUUGGUACCUGUUGUCUGACUCUGCAUUCUGUGCUGGAAUGGCCAAAACUCGGACUGUCUCGUCCUGGUGUGAUAUCCGUGGUUGGCAUAGGGCCCUCCGUACUUCUGUAUUUGGCAUUUCUGAAGUCAAAGAGCCCGCCACCGUAAGGGCCGGAUUAGUUGGGGCGAGCAUCCGUAGNNNNNNNNNNNNNNNNNNNNNNNNNNNNNNNNNNNNNNNNNNNNNNNNNNUUGCACAAAUGCCUUAGCUGUUGGUACAGUAACAUCUAACUCUCGUACAGUAGGUGUUGCAGGAUGAUAACCGUAAUUUAGAAAGAAGGGUGUUUGACCAGUAGACCGGUUUACCGAAUUGUUAACAGCAAAUUCCGCCAAGGAUAAAACUUUAUCCCACGUGGAUGGAGAUCCAUCACAGUAACUUCGCAACAUGUCGGCCAGCACACGGUUCAUGCGCUCUGUUUGACCAUCGGUCUGUGGAUGGAAUGCUGUAGACAGAUCUGAACGAAGAUCGAUCAUACGAGCCAUAUGUUGCCAGAACAUUCCAGCAAACUGCGGUCCUCUAUCAGAGACUGUGGUUUUGGGCAAUCCAUGCAAUCGAACAACGUUUGCAAGGAACAACUCUGCAGUUUUCUCGGCUGUGACAUGCGUAUUGGUUGGUACAAAAUGAGCCAUCUUGGUGAGACGAUCCACCACAACAAAAAUGGCGUCAUGUUGUCGUUGCGUACGCGGCAAACCAACCACAAAAUCCAUUGAGACACUGUCCCACGGCAUGUCUGGUAUUGGCAACGGUUGCAACAAACCAUGUUGUCGCCCUGACAAGGUUUUGUUACGUUGACAUUUAUCACAACAACGUACGAAAGACUCGAUAUCUGCUGUUAUCCCAGGCCACCAAUGGUGUCGUUGUACUAACUCAAGGGUGCGAGCGACUCCUGGGUGUCCACCCAUGGGUCCUCCAUGACAGCGAGCUAUCAGUUCUUGUCGUAGUUGGGGCUCACAUGGAACGACAAUACUUCGACGUCCCGUAGGCAUCGCCUUGAGCCAGUAGCCUUGUUCAUUACGGAACAACGUAGCUACGUUUAGUGAUUGACCGAACCAAGGAUCCUUAGCAUACCCAGCCAGGAUACGUUCUCGAAGCGUACAUGCUUUCGUCCUUCGGGUUAUCGCAUUCAGUGAGGGAUGUCGACUGAGAGCAUCAGCUACAUUCAGUUUCCCAGCACGAUGUUCCCACAAUAAAUGAAAUCGACUAAGGAACUCAAGCCAACGUGCUUGCCUUCGAUUUAACGUGGGUUGCGUUUUGAGGUAAAUUAACGGGUGAUGAUCCGUUACCACGCGUACGUCAUGUGGUCCUUCGAGGUAGCAUCGCCACUCUCUUAGGGCAUGGAUUACACCAAGCAAUUCCUGCUCUCCCGUUGUAUAGUUCCGUUCGGCUGGCGUGAACUUUUUACUGGUGAACGCAAUAGGGGCUCCAUCUUGGAGAAGUACAGCACCUGUUCUCCUUAACGAUGCGUCCGAAAUUACCUCAAAAGAGAACGGUUUGGUCAAAUCAGGGUACCGAAGCAAGACAUCGUCUGCCAAGGCUUUCUUUACUACCUCAAAGGCUUCACGUGCCGAGGGAGUCCACUCGGGCAUUUCUGAAGUCAAAGAGCCCGCCACCGUAAGGGCCGGAUUAGUUGGGGCGAGCAUCCGUAUGAUACGAAGGGCUCACUUACAACCUUUGUAACGCUCUCCGCCUAAGCGAGCCCCACGCACCACGCACGAACGAAUUUAGGCCCUUUUCGGUGAUAUCCAAAUUUUUUGGAAGCGCGAUCGCGCUCCGUUUUAUUGUAAUAAUUUUCCGUGUUCCUGAAUCGAGUAAUCGUGUUAUCGCGAGUACCCGUUAGCAUUAUGUUUCCUCUCGUACCUGGCGGCUUACCGUGGGGCCAAGACCCACUUACUUCGUCUACUCAUCGAUUCGUUACCGUUACGCCUGUGCGUGACGAUCUCAUCGUCCCGCCGUUACACCUGCCGCUGGUACGUUUUGUCUGUUUUCGAUGGACGUCCGUCAGCUUAGUGCGUCCUACGCCUCGGCUCUAUGAUCACCGCAGGUCUUUCCUGGUAAUCCUCUCCCUGCCAUGCCUCCGCUUGCUGCGGGCCCUAUCCGUCUCCCGAGGUCGGCGCCACCGCCUUUAGACCCUGUCGCGGCUCUGUAUUACUCUGAGUUUACCGGGGACGUGUCGGUGCGGCCGCCGCUCACGGCCGCCUUGCUCUCGAUCUACCAGGUGCACCAACAUCAGUGGGUCUCGGAGAGCUGGCGGCGGGUUCAAAGUGCUGCGCGAGAAUUUCAUGGCUGGUUGCAGCGCCAGUCUCUCGGGCUCACCUUGCUCACCUGCGAUCCUAUGUCCAUUGUUUCGUAUCUGGUGGAAUGGUGGUUCCCCCGGCACCCUGGGCGUCUGCGGGCUGACCGGCGUCCCAGCGCCAGUGCUGUGAAAGGGGUUAUCUCGAGCCUUGCGACUGCUUUUAAGCAGCUGGGCCGGGAAGGGGACUAUGACGCCUCUCAAAGCCGCGGGAAUCCUUGCGACAGCUCCUUGGUGCGAGGCUAUGUCAAGGGCUACGGGCGGGACCUUAGUGACGCCGGUUAUGUGGAGCGAGGCGCCAUCCCUUUGACCGCGGAAAAGUUUCGUUGCCUGGCCUGCCAUCUGUGGACUGCGUCCGGCGACGAAGAGCAUUUGUUUGCUCGCAGUUUGGUGCUUCGGGACUUGUCUCUAUUUGCUUUAAUGUGGCAUACGUAUCAGCGCGGUCAUGAUGUCGGCAAGCUGGUGUUAAGUGAUUUCAGGGAUCCGGUGCAUGGCCGUACCGAGUACCAGGGCUGGCUGUUACCCCUACCCGCGCCUGACGGGAGUGUCUCUCCCGACACUGUACUCCGUAUCGAAGAAUUAAAUACCAAGACGUACAAGGGUCAGCGUGCUCCUGCGACGAUGUUGCAUCCGGAUCGUGAUCCUAUCGUCUGUGCGCUGCGGGUUCUUGCAGUGUACAUGAGCACGUGUACGAGGGCCGGUACCCCUAUUACCCAAUACCUCUUCCGUCCGGCGGAGCGCAGUGGCCGCGCAUAUCGGGAGGCGCCGAUGACGACCGAGGCCCUGGAAUAUCGCCUCGUCGCUCAUCUUACCGCUGCUGGGCUAUACGGUGGAGAGACGGUGCACAGUUUUCGUCGGGGUGCUUUGCAGCAUGCCCAGUCUCAGGGGGUCUCCGAUGAGGAUCUCAUGCGCUCCGCGCACAUCCGCUCUCUGGGUACUCUGCACCGCUAUCUGGAUCCUACUAGGCACCUCGCCCGCCUCCCGGCCGGCGGGACGGGGACGGGGCUGGUGGUUUCGGAGAGUGAUGAUGAGUGAUAAGUCUGUGCAUGUUUGGUCCUGUCUCACGAGGGUGGGGAGGGAGGGCGACCUCGACUUUUUCUAGUCUUUCUCGUCGUCUAUUUUCUGUAAUCCGUCUUAAUAAAGCUUAGUUGGUACCUGUUGUCUGACUCUGCAUUCUGUGCUGGAAUGGCCAAAACUCGGACUGUCUCGUCCUGGUGUGAUAUCCGUGGUUGGCAUAGGGCCCUCCGUACUUCUGUAUUUGGCAUUUCUGAAGUCAAAGAGCCCGCCACCGUAAGGGCCGGAUUAGUUGGGGCGAGCAUCCGUAUGAUACGAAGGGCUCACUUACAACCUUUGUAACGCUCUCCGCCUAAGCGAGCCCCACGCACCACGCACGGCGUCCCACCCUCCAUCCCCCUGCCAACCUAAAACACCCCGGCCACCCGCGCUCCGCGCGCCCCCCUCUCUGCCUUGCCUUACUCCUGCUCUCACUGUAAACUCUCCCCAUUUCGUAUCUCCAACUCUCUCACUCCCGUCUCCGCGUCCCCCCGACCACCCCCGGGUGGUGCACCCGGGCACCCAUUAUAAGUCACCUAAGUUGGCCCCGCAUCGCUCCUCUGACACGCGGUAGUCAUCAAUUGGGGAACUGUACACUUUCCCCCGAAAACUGGACUCACCCUGAUAGGUUCCCGCUGCUGUUCGAAAGGCUGCUGCCAGUUGUUCUGCUAUCUCUUCGAUAAGGGGUGUCAGUCUACGUCGUAGCCUCGCCUCCUGUGAUUCGUGUAUCCAUCGCAGAGAUCCUGCCCUACCCACCAGAAAAACUGUUCCAGCGCGUCCGUCAGACCGAUCACCAUAAGUUCUUUGCGCCGCCCCACAAAAGUUGACUGCCGUCCUCGGAGCCCAAAAUCCUCCGAUUCGUAAUGCCACUAUCGCUCCUGGGUCUGAGGCCGCGUUGGGCUCGAACAUGCCUCUGAGUGACAUGGCCUUGUCUCCGUGUUUUGCAGCCAACGUCUUUCCCCAAGGCUCGCCAAUCCACUUGUUGCCCGACCGGGCCCCUGGAUUCGGACCGGAUGUCCCUUUCCGCUUGUCUGCCAGCAGCGGAUGACCCUUCGGCUCUAGCCUGGCGUAUGUCCUCCGAUUCCGCCCUCCUGGCCCUGGUCGUCCGCCCGGGUUGCAUAUCUUCGUCACUGCCACUCGCCGAUUCCCUACUGCUCGGGGAAGCCGACUGCUCCGGUAGUUCUCGGCCAAUUUUUCUCUGCUCCUAUGGCCGUGCCUUGCGUUUUAACAGGGUAACCUUCACUGGCCCCGGCAGUCUAGCGGCCCUCCCUGGUACUCCCGUAGCCUGCGCCUGGGCAGGCCUUGACGUUUUGUAGCGCCCUUCUCCCCUCACGGCAUCCUUGCCUCUGGUUUCCUGAUGGGCCAACCAAUGACGUUUGUAUUGGCCUUCGCCCCUCCUCAUACAGAAAGAUGCUAAUGCAUUCUUCAGCCGCCUAGCUGAAAAACAUUCCCAGGCAAGGGCGUUUGAUACGAUUGUUUAUUUCUGGCUUUUCCACACCUUACUCGGGCAACUACCCUUAUGGUCUCCAUCAGUGGGUCGGCCCUUUAUGGGGUUUUAUGGGGAACAGUAACGGCCUUCUAAUAGCUGUGGCUCGUUCUGUACCCCGCUUCGUGUCUGGUACUCCUGGUCCCGUGUCUGAGACGUGUCUCUCCCUGUCUCCCUUCUACAAGUGCACCGCCUUCUGUGAUCGUUGUUGACAUACUCCUAAAUCGCCACGCCUGUAAUCCGGCAAGCCAUCACUGCGGGUUACUCAAGAAUGCUACCUCCUGAAGCCUCUUGUGAACCGAACUCAGUGGACCACCCCAGCGGUUUGCUACAAGCGCGAUGCCUUCUGUGGUCGCUGUCUACAAGUUCCCAUACCAAACCUUCAGUUUGGCGUGCCGCCACGGCAGGCUUCCUAAUCGCGUUGCCUUUCACUGCCGCUCGUCAUGCAUUCUGUGCCGCGCUUUGCGGGCCACCACAGCAGUUUUCUACAAGCGCACCGCCUUCCGCGGUCGCUGUCUAUAUCCUCCUAGGUCACAACGCCUCCCAUUCGGUGUGCCGCCGCGGUGGGCUUCUUAAUCGUGCUGUUUUCCGCAGUCGCUUGUCAGGCAUUUUAGUGCCGUAUUCUGAGGACUGCCGCAGCAGCUUUUCUACAAGCGGGCCGCCUUCCGUGGUCGCCGUCUACACAUUCUUAAAUCAUAAAGCCGUCAGUUCGGUGUGCCGCCUCGGCGGGCUUCCUAAGUGCGCUGCCUUCUACAGCCUCUUAUCAUGCAAUUGGUGCCGCACUAUCGGACCGCCGCAGCGGUGUUUCUACAAGUGGACCGCCCUCCGCUGUCACCUUCUAUAUGCUCCUAAAUCAACGCCUUCCGUUCGGCUUGCCGCCACUGCGGGCUCCCUAAGCGCACUGUCUUCCGCAGCCGCUUGUCAUGCAUUUGUGCCGCACUUGUUGUUGUUGUUACAUGUCCGUGGGUGCGUUCCCCGUACCUGCAAACCACCCUAGUACGAGCCGAGGGCUCAAGGGCUGACAAAUCGCCUAUAAGCACCAUCCUACCUCGCACUUCCAACGAGAUAAGUGAUGANNNNNNNNNNNNNNNNNNNNNNNNNNNNNNNNNNNNNNNNNNNNNNNNNNNNNNNNNNNNNNNNNNNNNNCUGCAUUUGAGCCGCACUUAGCGGACCGCCGCANGCGGUGUUUCUACAAGCGCACCGCCUCCCGCGGCCGCUGUCUAUAUGCUCCUAAAUCAACGCCUUCAGUUUCGGCGUGCCGCCACGGCGGGCUUCCUAAGCGCACUGCCUUCCGCAGCCGCGUGUCAUGCAUUUGAGCCGCACUUAGCGGACCGCCGCAGCGGUGUUUCUACAAGCGCACCGCCUCCCGCGGCCGCUGUCUAUAUGCUCCUAAAUCAACACCUUCAAUUCGGCAUGCCGCCGCGGCGGGCUUCCUAAGCGCACUGCCUUCCGCAGCCGCGUGUCAUGCAUUUGUGCCGCACUUAGCGGACCGCCGUGGCGGCUUUUCUACAAGCACACCGCCUUCCGCGGCCGCUGUCUAAAUGCUCCUAAAUCAACGCCUUCAGUUUCGGCGUGCCGCCACGGCGGGCUUCCUAAGCGCACUGCCUUCCGCAGCCGCGUGUCAUGCAUUUGAGCCGCACUUAGCGGACCGCCGCAGCGGUGUUUCUACAAGCGCACCGCCUCCCGCGGCCGCUGUCUAUAUGCUCCUAAAUCAACACCUUCAAUUCGGCAUGCCGCCGCGGCGGGCUUCCUAAGCGCACUGCCUUCCGCAGCCGCGUGUCAUGCAUUUGAGCCGCACUUAGCGGACCGCCGCAGCGGUGUUUCUACAAGCGCACCGCCUCCCGCGGCCGCUGUCUAUAUGCUCCUAAAUCAACGCCUUCAGUUUCGGCGUGCCGCCACGGCGGGCUUCCUAAGCGCACUGCCUUCCGCAGCCGCGUGUCAUGCAUUUGAGCCGCACUUAGCGGACCGCCGCAGCGGUGUUUCUACAAGCGCACCGCCUCCCGCGGCCGCUGUCUAUAUGCUCCUAAAUCAACACCUUCAAUUCGGCAUGCCGCCGCGGCGGGCUUCCUAAGCGCACUGCCUUCCGCAGCCGCGUGUCAUGCAUUUGUGCCGCACUUAGCGGACCGCCGUGGCGGCUUUUCUACAAGCACACCGCCUUCCGCGGCCGCUGUCUAAAUGCUCCUAAAUCAACGCCUUCAGUUUCGGCGUGCCGCCACGGCGGGCUUCCUAAGCGCACUGCCUUCCGCAGCCGCGUGUCAUGCAUUUGAGCCGCACUUAGCGGACCGCCGCAGCGGUGUUUCUACAAGCGCACCGCCUCCCGCGGCCGCUGUCUAUAUGCUCCUAAAUCAACACCUUCAAUUCGGCAUGCCGCCGCGGCGGNNNNNNNNNNNNNNNNNNNNNNNNNNNNNNNNNNNNNNNNNNNNNNNNNNNNNNNNNNNNNNNNNNNNNNNNNNNNNNNNNNNNNNNNNNNNNNNNNNNNNNNNNNNNNNNNNNNNNNNNNNNNNNNNNNNNNNNNNNNNNNNNNNNNNNNNNNNNNNNNNNNNNNNNNNNNNNNNNNNNNNNNNNNNNNNNNNNNNNNNNNNNNNNNNNNNNNNNNNNNNNNNNNNNNNNNNNNNNNNNNNNNNNNNNNNNNNNNNNNNNNNNNNNNNNNNNNNNNNNNNNNNNNNNNNNNNNNNNNNNNNNNNNNNNNNNNNNNNNNNNNNNNNNNNNNNNNNNNNNNNNNNNNNNNNNNNNNNNNNNNNNNAUCCUGUAUGCCUGUCUUGCUCAUUGUUCUUUACGCCUUCGCACGUAGGGUAGCUGUUAUGUUGGUAAGUAUCCUGCACCGGGCUAUCUGGCGACUCGCGAGGAUACCAGGGUAAAUCAGGCGAACUCAAGACAAAGGGCGCCGAUCAAGCCCCUCGCAACCUCUUGCCAACCAAGAGCUACUCCCGGCAAAACGGACUCCCAGCUAAAGCCUCGCCAACUGCGGGAGGCCGAGAUAAAACCACCUUUCCUACUGACCUACGGACCUCGCGAACCCAACUAGAAUUCCCCCGCCCACCGACAAGCAACAGAACCCACUAUUCAGGUGCCUCUACUCACGGCCGAACCAACCCAACCACCCGCGCAGUGCCCGCGCGCUUCACUUACUUGCAUGGAUGCCGUUGGCCCGCAAUGUCGAUCUGCGCGUCGCCGUUGUUGUUGUCUUCUCAUAUAUAAGAGACGGCGUUCUAUUGUAGGCAAAACCAAAGAUAAAGGCAAUCUAACAUCACUCGUCAAGCGAUUUCGACCUCGACUUUUUCUAGUCUUUCUCGUCGUCUAUUUUCUGUAAUCCGUCUUAAUAAAGCUUAGUUGGUACCUGUUGUCUGACUCUGCAUUCUGUGCUGGAAUGGCCAAAACUCGGACUGUCUCGUCCUGGUGUGAUAUCCGUGGUUGGCAUAGGGCCCUCCGUACUUCUGUAUUUGGCAAUACUCGAGGCCAUGAGUUUCGACCUGUUGGCCUCGCCCCAACCGACACCAAAUUCCUACCAUGCAUACCUUACCUAGUUACCACCUUUCGAUUGUGCGCAAAUUGUAAUUAUACUUGGCAGAAUUCCUACAGAGCAAAUUUUAAAUGCUUGCUUGCAGAUUUGCUAGUUUCCUUCAGAGCCCACAAGGAUUUUUGACACAAUUUUUAUAAAUGGCCGCCCGCGCAAUAGCAAUCAUAGCUUUGACGGCCCUGCUCUGCUCCGCUAGCCUUCCGAAAGGAAAUGCAGUCAUCAACAGCGUCAUCAGCCAGUGGCUUACAAUUGCCCAAAAUACUGUGUUGUCGCUGGGAAUCGAACACCAGCAGGCAGCUCGCGUCUACGGUAUCGUGGCCUCGGGUGAGCGGCAAAAAGCAAACGGCUUAUCAUAAUAGCUAUUACAGGACGCAUCCUAACGCCUAAGCCGCUUCACGAUAUAGUUUUAUCGGCGAAUAACAGAAGAACUUAUGUGGCUUUGCAUGCAGCACAAUAUGACGUCAUCCUCUUGGCCCGCGCCUACACGUCUGCCGUGAUUCCCGACGAAGUCGCCGCGGCAUAUGCCAGCCACGCAGCGCUCAGCCACCUUUUCUUUUGGCGCCAGAACUCCAUCUACGACCCGGCCCUUGCGGAAAACUUGGCGAGGUACAAUGUGAGCGACUCGCUCCUUCCGGUUCUGCAGAGCCUGGCCGUUCCCACCGUACAGAGGAUCCUGGUCGACAGGUACGACGGGUGGUUUGACUAACCUCUGUGCAAAACCCUGUGAGUGCGUGUGUAAGGACGCCAAUCGCCUACAUGAACCAUUCAUUACAACGCCAGGAUCUCUUGCUCAUGCAUGACUGAUGUUACAGCGGUAGAUGCGUCGUGAAACAGGCAAUCUGUGCGCGUACUCUAAUUGCGCCAAAACGUGUUUGUCGUACCUCCGUCUGUCGUACCUCCCACUGAUCCCUCUGACCCGCCUAUCACCACACAGGAUCAGAGACGGCAUCAGCUACUUUGCAAACUUCAAGCCCUUCAGCAACAGCAGCGAGAACAUCGGGCGCUACCAGUUCACUCCCGGACAGGUAGUAUGACAGCAACAAAGUACGGCACAUGUACAAUGAGCCUAGGGUCUCUGCUGCCUCACUGUAGUAGCUGGUACAUAGUACGACACAUCUGAUGACGUGUUCAGAUGCGCGCUAAGGCGCUCCACCAGCAUCUUAAGAGGGGCCUUUUCAGCGGCGGCCUGCAGCUACACUCAACCUGGGGCAAACUUCACAGUCAGAUCUCCCAUCGCCAUAGCAUGAGCUUCCCCAGGAGGUCCCUAUAACCAUCGCCUCAUACAGGUGCCCGCCGCCACACACCACAUGCACAUAAAAACACACACACGCGCGCUUGCUUUCUUCCUUCUUCCUCACGCCUUCCCCCCCUAAUUGCCCUUGGAUCUUGUACUGCCCUUAGACCUCUGCACGCUAUCCCCAAGUCGCUCGUGCCAAGCCCUUCUACUUGAGCUCGUACGAUGUGGACGUGAUCACCAAGAACCUGACUCGCUUCUCACUGAACGAUACCGAAUACGGGCGGGAGCUUUGGCAGGUGCGGGCGUGUGCGUGUGUGCGUCGGUGAGUCAGUCUGUCAGUGUGCUGGGUUAUGUUGUUGAAGGGAAACUAUGCUCUUGGUACAAAAGAAGGACAAGCUGCCGAUCAAAACUGAGGAGUUUUGAUCGUGAUUUAAAGUUCUGGUAUUCCAAGUGUUUGUAAUAAUAUCCUCUAUCUCGGAAAACGGAUAUUUAAGCUCAUGCAAGUCAUUUUAAUGAAACCAGUUAGAAAACUAGGAAAAGUUGGUGAAGUAGUUAAUGUAAAAAACGGUUAUACCGUGAGCCAGGGGAAGUUAAGUAGGCGGGAAUGGGUGCAUACAAUGGCCCUGUGUGUGUAUGUGCGUGCCAUAAUGAAUAUCGCAUACUUAAGAUGCAUGCACACACGCAUGUAUGCAUCUUGCGACUAAGAGCGUGGGAGGCGGUACUCGUUCCCACACACUUAAACCCUUUAUAAGCAGCUCAACCACCAACCUGACUUCUAUCGAUGCAUGCGAUUCACAUAUUUAUGUUGUACGUGCUUGUUCCUCCGUAAUACAACUCCUGGCCCUGGAAUAAAGGUGUAUCUGUACGGCUCAGUUAACUCCACCGUCCGUACGGCGUACGACACCGGCUCUGUGCGCUUCUGGGCUCUUGGAACUGGUGCGGAGGAGCCUAGAGGGCUAGGGUAGUGCAAUCCUUUGUGGCGGCCUUGUAUGUAUGCAUGUAUGUACUUAUGCACGUAACAUGUAUGUAUAUCGCAAUAAAUCAACGGUCAUUGUACGCUAUAAAUCGGAACGAACUUGUGCUUGAAACCACGCCAUCCGUAGGUCAGGGGCCCCAAAACGACGACUUACACUUUGGCAGGCUAAUUAGCACCAACCCCGCCCGGCCCCGGUGAGGGCCGUUCGACACGUGGAAAAGGCUUUCUCCGAGUACCUAGGCUAAUAAGCCUGCGAACCCCAUACGACAGGGAUGGACCAUCUCCUACCAGCAGACGCAGGCCCGCACAGUCCGCUAACCACACACGCAUUCCUCCAUUUGGGAGUGGGCAAAACCCAUGAGCUCAAACUUGACAAGGUUAUCGGGCCUAAGCGCAAAAACGCAACUGAAAUCCCCAACAACAGCAUCGAGUGGCAGGGCCUGCAUGUGUUUCGAGGAUGUAGCCAGCUGAGGCUAAGGUCAUCAGCAUAAAGUACUUAGGGUUAAUACCGCUCUGCCGACGAUGUGGGAGGGCCCGUCACAUCAUCAAAACCCAACUGCCCGCUUCGCGCGUCCUCCCCGUCGACCAUGUCCGCGAGUGCUUCGAAUAAACAGCGAACGAACGAACAUCUCAUCAGUGCCAAGGGGGCGUCUGCGCUCAACACCUUGUUUGGACACAAAAGGCUUUCCGGUCUCCCCAUUAACCUUCUUCACUUCCUUGAUCACCACCUUUUCAUACAGUUUCAUACAUUUUCAUGCAAUGUAAUGUAAUGUAAUGUUACAGAGUGGGAGGCUUCUGGGCCGCUUUAUUUUCAUGCAUUUUAAGGAAGGCAUCCAAGAGCGGCAGGCACGAAACCCUCUCUCGUCUAACUUCAGCCAAAGCAGCCGCCCUCGCGGCAACAAAUCAUCGGAGGCAUUCUCAAAGGUCCAUCUGGACAACAAUAUAAGUCCCACGUUGGCAAAGAAAGCACCGGUGAGAGAUGCCCCUUGACGAAGAGACGGUGCACGAUGGCGCCGAAGCUCUAAAACCUGAAACCAGCCUGCAGCCGAUACCCGAGCUUAAGGUCCCGUCCUUAUGUAUGGUAUAUGCAGGUACAGGCACCAUCGCGGGGGUGUGGUUGAACAUCUCCAUCUCCGUAAUCCCGGCGGAGACACCCCUGGUGCAGCAGGCCCGCUUUUUCAAGAUCCUCACCACCAGCUUCUGGGAUGCAGCCGUAGCGUGGUAAGCAUCUGGUUUGGCGGCUGAGUGGCGGCUGUGGUGACUGACGCAGCAGCUUUCCCUCGCUGUUUUCCAUAUAAUAUACGUUAUCAGAAUGACCUUGUGCAUGACUGCAGCUGCGGGGUCCCGGAUUUAAAACCCUAAAACCCUGAGAGAGAAAACCUAAAACCCUAAACGGUUUACAGAUCGUGCCAUGGUAGAAUAGAUAGACCUGAAAGAGAUGGCCAAUAGACGCUCCUCCAUUUUACACACAAAGAUUGCCGCAUACCCUGCCCCCCUAGCUGGCGCACCAAGUAUCGGGAGCUCUUCUGGCGACCCAUUACCGCCAUCAGGUGGGUUGGUCAGUUAGCUACCGGUUGGGCGGUUGACUAUCAGUUAGGCAGUUGGCUGGUAGUGACGGGGCCCAUAAUCAGCGGGUUUACACAGUACCACCUUUCCCUGGCCUGUUUAGCUCCAUCUCACCUCUCCCUGGCCCCCUGGCCACCUGUUUCCCCUGCCUUUGUUAAAUGAUGGAAUUGAACUCUGUGUGCGCAGGACGCCCCACUUGCGGUCCUUCGCCGCCGACCCCUCCUGGACUCCCCUGUUGAGCACUCCCGCCCACCCCGAGUAUCCAUCCGGUCACCAGUGCUCUUCGGGCGCCGCGGUGUACUUGCUGGAGGCCUUUUUGGGCCGCUCGACGCCCUUCAGAGCGUCUUCGGAGGGCGCCCCCGAGGUUGGGAUUCGCAGCUACCCCAACUUCCGCGCCGCAGGCCUGGAGAGCGGAGACAGCCGUCUAUAUGCGGGAGUGCACUUCAACAAGUCCAAUAUUGAUGGCAUGAAUUUAGGAUACCGUGUCGCGCAGUUCAUUCAUACCAGGAAGUUUAAUUCCGUGACCUUUAGUUCGAGUAUCUGAUUGGAGCUCGUGAAGCUUUUGCCGUGAUAUGGAUAAUAAAUACAGCAUUUGACAUCUUCCAGAUCCUCGGAGUGCGUUGCGACGGUCCCGCGACUGUCACAACGUAGAUUCCGAAAAGGGCGGGCUCCCAAACGGGUCCGGGUUCCAACACGAAUUUUACAUCUACGCCCCAUUUCAGCAUGCCUAGCUAGUAUUGUGGUGCAUUUUUUUAUUUCAGCCUGUGAACAGUUUGCACUUCGCAAUAGUGCGUCUGGAACUUCGGUGAACCCAAUCAUGGAACGGCGCUGGGCAGCAGCGAUGGCAGUCGACAGCUUUCAUCGCAGUCAAGAGUUUUUUGCAUUCAUUUGCCUAUAACGUCCGGUCCGAUGUAUAUUUUUUGCAUUUGUCGGGUGAUAACUUGAUGUCUCGCUAUAAACUAACCCUUACAAGGGCGCGUUUGUUAGUUUGGUUCAACCAGCAGAGGCAGUUUUUGUAUCAAGAGCAUGCGCCGUUACGCUGCCUCGCUUUCCUAUCCGCCUUGGAUCCGCCUCGGUGUUUGUUGCACUUAAUCCGUUUCGCUUUGUCGUACUUCCAUCGGUGAGCGGUCGUUAAGAUGGCUCACAACCCAUCUAUUGGGGUCUUUCGAUCACACCACAUUUGUGGAGGAGCUAAAUAGGAAGGAGCAUUACAGUUUUGGUUCCACCAGCGGCAGCUUCUAACGAGCACGCAGGCUCUCCUCCCUUAUUCGCUUUCCCUCCUGUGUUGUCGAUUUCCUACAAUCAACACGUUGCAAGGCUGUUGAAUCCCCCGAUACUUUGUAUGAACUGAAACGAGCUAGAGGCAGGAGACCAAACGUUAGAGCAAUUAGCUGAGACAAACCCGACCAGACACAGGAUUUCCCGGUUGGCGGACCAGUUCUUGUUAUUACCCAUUCACACAACAGCACUGCCGUACCAUACCAGCGCACCCAUGUACGGCCAUAUAUCCAUACAUUCAGAAAUUUCGACCUCUCACUCACACCACCACGUGGGCACAUUAAUUGCAUUCGAUGAAAUCAUGCCGCCGCCGCUUCACGCCCCAACUUCCCCACCUGCUACAUAUCGGCGGGGGGGGGAGGGGUUGCCGGGUGUAGCAAUGCGGAUGUCCCCAGAAUGAAAUAACUCCAAAGCCCCCUUUUUUCUCUUUCCCCCCAACAGCUUAAUGGAAAUAUCAUCUUGCCCCCUUCCUUCUUUGAACCUAACCACCGGGUCAUGGGUGAUAAAAGCAGUAGUAGUAAGUUUGCGGAUACCACAGCCUGUUUAGGCACACGCUGCUGGGGUGAGAUAGUGAAAAGCGUCCCAAAGCUAUAGCUAGUCUAGGCAACCUGCUGCUCACCAGCGGGCAGCUGCACCACCACCACUGUCACGUUGUCCGUUGUGGGUGCGGUGGACGAGUCGUGACGGAGUGCCUCGUGGAGUAGCGCGGAUACCGCUGAGCGGAGGGAGCCCUUCGUCGCCCCGCCCGGGACCCCCCCUGUCACGCCCACGCCCUGCCCCUGGCGCGGCCCCGGCUCCCCAGAUUUCUGUCCAUGUAAACAGCCCAACUGGAGCUCUAGGAAGUCCAUGACCUGAUGCCGGAGAUUGGGGGAGGGGGAGGACUUUUUAUAUUAUAUAAAGGGGGAGGAGGGAGAAAUAUGUGGUGUUGCAAAAUGCAUAAUCAAAUUAAAAAAAUAAAAAUUUAUAUUAAUAGUGCAAAAUGCAGAGUAAAAAUAAAAAUUAAAAACACGACAAUUAACUUUGACAUUCCAAACUACCUAAACCACCCAAACCUCAACCGCUUCCCUCCCCCUCAUACACACCAUUUGGGGGUGCAUGACGUCCCACAGGCCGUCGCAUGCGACCACCAGCAGCCGCGGGUGCGGGUGCGGGUGCGGGUGUGGGUGUGGGUGGGGCAGCGGACGGCCAUCGUCCCCCUCCGCGGCCUCGGAGGGCCCCGCGGGGGACGUCUCCGAAGUCUCGGCUCCUGCUGAAGUCAUCAACCUGACUUCCCGGUCAGAAGAGGUGCCGCUAGCAGUGGCGGUAGCGGCGGUGCCAGCGGGUGUUGGUGGGGUGGCCAGGAGGGGCACUGAGGUGGUGUCCGGUGCAGCGGUUACGGCUUGUUGGUCGGGGGGUAGAGCGGGGUCCUUGUACUGCGGUAGUGGAGGUGUUGGGGAAGGGGGGAGGGGGGAGGAGGAGGAGGGGGAGGAGGUUGUCUGAUCUCCCGCUUUCUGCCUGCCCUGUCAUUUCUAGACAUCGCGGCGGCGCAAGGAAGGGGAGCGGUGAGGCGGCUGACCCAGUGUGGGUCCGUGUCCAGGAUAGCCGCAGCGGCAGCAGCAGUAGCAGCAUAGACCGUUAUCUCCCAUGCCGCGUCAUGUCAUGUGUGUGGUGUGUUUCUCGGCCGUCACCUUCACCUCCCAUGCUCGCCGGGCGUCCUCCAACACACAGUCGCUGGCCAGUGUCAGGCCCGGUCAAAUACUUGUAACGUUCUCUCUCUCUCUCUCUCUCUCUCUCUCUCUCACACACACACACACACACAUACACACACAUACACACACAUACACACACAUACACACACAUACACACACAUACACACAUACACACACAUACACACACAUACACACACAUACACACACAUACACACACAUACACACACCGUCCCAGCCCCUCUCACCCGCACAUCCCCUAGGGCUCGGCUCAUGGCCAAACUGCCGCCAACGCGGGGAAUGUGACCAGGGCGCUUCAGGACGAAUUGGCCUGCGGUUGGGCGGUUGGAAGGUGGUUAGUUGGUUGAGCAGCAAAAUGGAGUUCAGACAACCGGGCGCCAGCACGGCCGUUGGCGGGUAGCGGACGUUGCAGACACGAAUGCACACACACACACACACGCACACCACGUGCAGUACAUCGCCUCGAGAGCGUCACCGUACUCGGUUUCACACCCGCCACACUCACUCAACACACACAUACACACAUACACGCAAGCACACAUAUUUACGCACACAAACACAAAUACGCGCGCAGCUGCUCCCCUGUGCACCUCGGCGGGCCCCCCCCCCACGUUUGCGGCUCGGUCCUUCAAAAAGCACUGAGGGGUUCAUGAACGAGGGGUCUUAAGACCCCCCGCGGUGCCCCUCUGACGCCCAGGACAGGCGGGCCCCCCCCCUCUUCACAUAUCCACCACCACCCCGCCACCACCACCACCACCACCACUACCGCCACCACCACCACCCCCAACACCACCACGUUCCAGCACCUGCCUGCGCGACAGAUCCGUUCUUGUUCUUGGGGCAGGUCGGGUUUGUGGUCCGCAGUCAAUGUCCUGGCCACACCGUCCUCAGAGAGCACAACACUGGAGCGGAGGGGAGGGGAGGGGAAAGACGAACCACGAACGAGUGAAGCUGCUGCCAAGGAAAGAGUGUACCAGACGUAGAACUGAUCAAAAGGCGUUCUUGAAGGCGGCGACCUCGGGAUGACGUAGUGAAGAAGAUGUCGGACAACUACCUACCCACCUAGCCGCCAAGACUGAAAAAGCGCGGAAGAAAAGCAGUAAUGCCAACCGUAAAGAAGUAAAGGUAGGUGUAGAAGCGGCGGAAAAGUAGUAAAACAACUGCUGACGUGAAGCUGGAAUAAAGUUUUAAGUAGGAGGGGGGGGGGAGGGGAGGGGAGGGGAGGGGAGGGGAGGAAAUGGCGGCGGGGGCGACGGUGCGGGGGGGACGGCCCAGGAGGACUGCAGGAGGUGCGUUUUAUACAUCCGAUUACCGAUAGGAUACAGAUUACAUGAGAAAAAAGAGAAGAAAAAGAAGAUGAGGUUGAGAGAUUUAAUAAAGUCCAGUAUACGACAAAACAAUGCCAUGCGUGCAGUACGCCGUGUGGCGUGCAUACAUUUGUAACAACUUACAUACAUAUAUAAUAAUAUUACAAUACAUUACAAAUGUAUGCACGCCACGUAUGCAUAUACAUGUAUGUAUACAUGUAUGUAUGUACAGCCGGGAACGGGUUAGAAAGUUGGAUGAUUGACGACACGCACGUGCAGUACAGCGUAUUACGGAGCACCGACGAGUGUUGUGCUGUUGCUGUGGAGUGGAAAGAUAGGGGCGCCGCCCCUCUCAUCUCCCACCUGCUAAAGCGCGCAACGCAAUACACAUACACAUACACAUACACAUACACAUACACAUACACAUACACAUACACAUACACAUACACACUCACACACGGCCCCCCCCUCUCCCGCCUUCGUACCGGCUGUCCCCCGCAUGCGCCACAGCCAGCUGGGACCCCCGGAUAACCGCCACAGCCGCCGUGGAACCCGCCUUGGGGCCCUGGUAGAGACCUUGCUCGUCCACUAUGCCGUACUUCUUCGUACUGCAGGUGCAUACCGCAUACCGCGGCCAACAAAAUGUUACACAAAAUGUUUAAAGACAGCGUUUCAGCGGCCAAGGCCACGGGGCCGCCAUAUCGAUUCCUACUGGGGGCAAUUAUAUCAUAAUACAAAAGGCAGGGAGUUCACUGCCGAUGUUACCUAUCGGAAAGGGACGCACGCGGGGAGGUUAGGGGAGUGUGAUGCGCUCACAUACACAUACACAUACACAUACACAUACACAUACACAUACACAUACACAUACACAUACACAUACACAUACACAUACACAUACACAUACACAUACACAUACACAUACACAUACACAUACACAUACACAUACACAUACACAUACACAUACACAUACACAUACACAUACACAUACACAUACACAUACACAUACACAUACACAUACACAUACACAUACACAUACACAUACACAUACACAUACACAUACACAUACACAUAUACACAUAUACACAUAUACACAUACACACAUACACAUACACAUACACAUACACAUACACAUACACAUACACAUACACAUACACAUACACAUACACAUACACAUACACAUACACAUACACAUACACAUACACAUACACAUACACAUACACAUACACAUACACAUACACAUACACAUACACAUACACAUACACAUACACAUACACAUACACAUACACAUACACAUACACAUACACAUACACAUACACAUACACAUACACACGCACACACUUACUGCACGUUCCCCUCCGCAUACUCCGCGAGCUCCCCCCGGCAGUCCGCCGCCCGCAUCCGGCCGUCCAGGGCCAGGAACGCCGCCUCCAGAGCCCCCUCCAGAUCCCCCCGGGAGAAGGCGGGGGAGCGAACCACUUCCUCAACCUCGGGAUUCACAUGUGUGUAUGCACGGCAAUGUACGACAAGACAUGGCGAGUCAGUGGGGCGGCGGAUGUGAACAAGAAAAAAACCAGUGCAGCGAUGAAGCGCGCGGGGGGAGGAAGAUGAGUGAGGGGUGUGUGUGGCUCGGAUGUGGUUUCGGAGGGAGCCCGAGGAGACCGCUAGGUGUGUGAGACGUGGUUUCGGAGGGAGCCGAGGAGACCGCUAGGUGUGUGAGACGUGGUUUCGGAGGGAGCCGAGGAGACCGCUAGGUGUGUGAGACGUGGUUUCGGAGGGAGCCGAGGAGACCGCUAGGUGUGAGACGUGGUUUCGGAGGGAGCCCGAGGAGACCGGGACGUCGGAAGCAUAGCAGCAAAUGAGCAGCAGCAGCGGAUGGGUAGAGACGGAAGCUAAGAUAGCGGCAGCCACAGCCAGGGGGGAAUGUGUUUUUAUGUUUGUUUGUGUCGUGCGGGCCCCCGAUUGUUUGAAUCCCGAUGUCGUGGAUUGCAUUAUACUGGUGUGCCGUACUGCCGCUCCACCUUACGACCACGGAUGUAACCCACCUCGGCGUCCCCUGUCUGUGCCGUACUUACAAUGUGCUGCGCGCAGAAGGACGCCACCUCGCGGCCGCCGUGGCCGUCAAAUACGGCAAAGAGUGCCGUACCGUUGCCGUCAAUAUCUAAAUUGACCACGUGCGCAUCCUCCUGCAACGACGGGAAGAUCCAGACUGCUCAAACUCAAAGUGAGUACGGCCGUGUGAGUACGGCCGUGUCUCCCCUUGUGUUUUGGAAAGCCACAGUGGGGGAUAACUCCCCCACAGGGAACAGAUCUUCCCCGAAAGGCAGCUCUGUACUGGCGCCGGAACCGGCAGGACGUUGUCCAAAACCCGGCCCUCCCUCCCCUCCCCCCCCGGGUGCCGCUGUCACAGCACGGGCCCCCCCCCGCCCCCCCCGCCCCCCGGGCAAGGGUUUUCUCCCCCCCCGCACCAUGCUCCUCCUACGGCCCUGUGUCUCCCCCACCACCCAGUGAAAGCCGCCGCCACCACGGCCCUCGGACAGCACCUGCGGACAUACAUGUAUGUCAGUAUGUAUGUAUGUCGGUAUGUAUGAUAUGUGGGACAGGGGGGUCGUAUCUUCACCCUGCGGCCGCUACCUGGCACCCUCAUCCAGUCACCCUAGUCAGCUUCUCAGUGGAUCGCUCAGGUUCCGCACCCACCAUCAGCAUCCAAUGGAAUCUGUGGGGUCGACAGCGGCCCAACUCCAUUCCUGGUCUGCUCGCAAGUUAACUUUAUCCCAGGUCACCACCAUCCAUCAGGCACUUUACCUUCCAUCAUUGGAAGGAUUUUCGCCCCUGACAGGUCUCGAUCUCGGGAUCUCCCGGGGGCAGUAGCCGCGCGGCACCAGUAGUGCUUAACCUAUGUCAGUAUGUAUGUGUUCGUGUGUAGGUGUGUAUGUCCACAUCACGCUCUCAAUGGCUGCAGGCGAGUUCAUACCGUUCCUGACCACCCUCGAGGGCAUGGAGGAACUAAUUUGCCAUGGCCCCGAAACCAUCAACAUUUAAUGAUGUGUAUAAUGCUAAAUCGUCAACGAGGCUAUUGAGGCAAUGCUUGGCCGCGUAGUAAGGCCCUCUUACGAUGUUGCGCGAGUGGCGCUCGAGUGGGAGGUCUUACCACUGGGUCCAGCAGUUCAGGCGGUCGACUGCCACAACUACUGCUGCUGCUGCUGCUGCUGCUACUGCUGCCCACUCUCAACAGCCAGCCUCCAGCGAACCGACCCGCGGGUCAUAGUGAGGGCCAGUCCAACAGCCGCACAACCCGCCCGCACCGUCACCUUACCUACAUUAACAUAACCACUUAAUAACCCAACCGCCUAACAGCGCCCAACAACCCAACCGACAACCGCCCAACUAACACAACCGAAUAACAUACCAACCACCACAACGCAACCGUCCAACCACCCAACCACCUACCACUGGAAACUCCGUCAGACCGCCCUGGUUGUUCAGCGACACAACGGUGGCCUGCUUGCGUGCAGCCAGGCUGUCAUCCAGGUUGCUGGAGGGGGGCAGCUGUACGGCAAGAUCCAGAUCCUGUGAGGCGCUGAGAGAACUGGGGGUUGGAGUGGCGGUGGCGGGACUGGUCAUGGCUGGCGUGUUGGUUGCGCUUGGCUGGUGCGGCUGCGGCUGCGGCUGCGGAGGCGAUGAUGGUGGUGAUGAUGGUGGGCGCGAUGGAGGGGCGCCGCGGGGUGGCUGGCGGUCUUGUGAGUAGCAGUGGCUUUCAAUGUUCCCUUGAUCAGCGGCGGCGGCGGCAGCGGCGGCCAGAGUGUGGCGACGGGCGGCGCUAGAGAAGUGAAGGGGGAGAGAGGCGGCGGAGGAGGAGAAGGGGAGGAGUGGGGGCAGUGGCGGUGCUGAGGGACGGUGGGGGAGCCCAGGGGGUGGCGUUGGCAGCGGCCGCGGCCGCGGCGGUAGCGGGACCGGAGUUUUGCUGGAGGCGGACAGUGAAGCGCGUGAUGUCGUGGAGACGUCGUCGUGACGGGCGCGGCGGUGGUGGUGGUAGUGGUUAGGAAGGACGAUUGGAAUGAAGGGCACUGGAGUGGCUGGAAUAGCUGCGAAGCGCGGAGGAUGGGGAAUAAGGCGAGGAGUGGGCGUUGGGAGGAAAAGCUGCUGCAGGCCGUAAAGCUGUAUGAGACGCGAUAUCAGCGAAGAGCGUUGCUGAUGGGUAAGAUGCAGCGGCAUCAAAAGCGAAUCAAAAACGGAUAUUUAAUGCGGGCUUGAAUUCAUUCGAGCCGUUAUGGAGUUUCACUUUUUACUGUGCGGGUUCCGGAAUGUUUGUCGUAAGUUCCUUCAACUGGCGGCCCCGGAAGCAAAAACGGGUGACGCAACGCGCGCGCGCGGAAGAUAUAUUGUUCAGAGGAAAAACGUGAUCAUCUCAUUGUGGUUCAACUACCUGGCUGGUUGAAAAUCAUCUGAUCAAAAUUGCUGGAGCGUCAGAGCCCGUCGGGGUGCCGAGCCGUCUCUCCCGCUUGGUUGCGUUCUGCGGGCAAAACUAACUAACUGACUAACGGGCUCCUAACGAACUAACGCGCUGCUGCAGCGCAGAUGCGCACAGCCGUUUUUUUUCAUGGCCGCACACACACACACACACAUGGAUGAAUGAAUGUCUGCACGUCUUGCUGUCCUUACACAGAGGCCCAAAGCCUAAUACUCCCAGCCCUUCAACGGACCCACGGGUCAUAGCGAGCUGAGCUUUCUUUUAAGGGCUUCCUCACGUGGGGCAAACAGUUCACGUAUUGAAUACACAACCGCCUACAACCACCCACAACCGCAACUUAAAAGAUCAGCUCCAGGCUUGAUUAUCUUCUAUGAUACGGAUGCAAAUGGCGUUGGCUGAUACAACGUUUCAGACCUGGGUGCGGGUAUUGCACCCACCGGCAUCCCCUUGCCACGAACCACCCCCCAUCGCGUCUCAAAACCCGCCACCAACCCUAGCCUGAUUUCCCCCUCCUUUUACCCCUUCCUUUCCGUGUAUGUAUGUGUAUGUGUAUGAUGUUACAGGGUGAUAUAGCUUCACCAGCGGCCCCCUUUCCCGAGGCAGUUCCCUGCUCUCCCCUGCGAGAGGGGCACCCUAAUCCAAUCACCUCACCCGACUUCAGAAUGUAUUCAUUAGAAUCAGCAACUCACCACCAGUAUCCAACUAAUGUAGCGGAUCAACGGCGCCUCAACUUGGUUCCUGGUCAGCUCGCAAGUUGAUAUAAUCACGUCCUACACCGUCCACAAGAUGGGGGGCCACCUCCCAAUUCAACACUCCUCAAACACCCGAGGAGUCGGCAGGCGGAUUUGAAUCCGGACCCUCCGGGAGCAGAAGUCCGGCCUUAACUGCUGCCAGCCACCUGCCUUAAAUGUGUAUGUAUGUGUGCGUAUAUGUAUGGCCGUGCGCACGUGUGUGUGGUGGUGUUAAUGUUACAGCGGUGGGCUACCAAGCUUCUUUGCCUGAAAGCAAAGCAGCCGAGCCAAAGGACACAUCAGCUGACGCUGCAGGAAAUACAGACCAGGAAAAGCAGGCUGGCUGGUUCGUAACGGCACGCAAACCUACUACUCAACAGGCUGGGGAGAGACCGGACUGCUAGCACUGCACUGCUGAUACCAGCAGGGUUUUUUUUGCCGAUAUGGCUCACCAAUGAGUGAUAACCUCGUUCCUAACAAUACCGGCAAAUCUGCCUGUGUGCGUGUGUCGGCUUUAAUGCCUGCCACGCCAUUCAUCUGCCCCACUAUGCUAGACCUUCGUGCCAUUUUCUAAUACGUGCCGCCUCCUUGUUCGUCUUUGCGUGGUACGACUCGGCCAUGGCUGUAUGAGACGGAUCGCACCACAACCUGGCUCUGGGCUGGACGUGCGUGUUGAACAAGAGUGGAUGCAUUACUUGAAUUGGGGAGUGGGUGGCUGUGUCGGGAGGCUGGCACGUGUACUGGGGGUAGUAGGUCUAUAUUACCGUGCCGUGCGCAGGGCAUCCGCGACGUACGUACGAUGACGUGCGUGCAGUGACAACCGCCGUAUGUGGCCAAUAGUGUUUGGCUGUGUGCAAUGUGUGUGUAUCUAGAACCGAAGAAACCGCGCUGUCCGUGAGGCUUGCGUUCCCCGUAUGCGCCCCCAUGAACCUGUGGUAUGGAGCUAGGGAAGAGCGCAACGCGCGCGUAGGGGAGAGCGCAACGCGCAAUGCACCCUCGCAUUAGAAGAAAGGGGGUUUCGAAUCAUCAGACCGAGGUGCCGAGCUGGUUUGUUACCCCAGUGAACGGAAAAGACCUAGCUACCGCCCAGCGCGCUUACAGACCCGUUCACACAGGAGACGACACAGACGCAUAAAAGUGUAAUCUUUGUUGCGUCCGCGACGAUGCUGCGGCAAGUUGACAGCGGCAACUGUUGCGGCAUAAUGCCGAGAGUACAGUCAUGCAAUUACUGAGGUGCAGUUUCACCGCAGGCUCGUCGGCAACAUUCCUUGCUCUUGAAGGGCAUCCUUGAAAGAAGUCGAUGAACAUGCUAGAAAUCGAGGUAUUAAAGCACCCAUAACAAUUAUCUACAUAUUUCUUAAGUGGGCAAGCGACCUGCCAAACACGUUCGCCAUGUUGCCUACGUCUACCAGACAUUGCUACCUCGCCCAUGUUUGGGGAUACCAACACGACGUUUCCACCGUAUAUGUUGUGCUGUUAAAAGUACCAUGACUGACAGAAAGCGCUUCUUGCAACUUGGCGAAGGGGUCCCAAGGGUCCGUUCGGUCGUACGGCUGUCGUGACUUUUGGCAUUCUUCAAUGUCAGUGCAGCACAUUUGAAAAUAUCUCUUUUUUAGGUUCCUUGCUCCAGCAUGGCAACAGAGUCAACGCGUAAGACGUUUGCCGUGCUUUAUGACGGAGACGGUUCAACCGCAAAUAUGUACACAAAUUCGGUGUAGACCUUCACUAAUUAUGAUCUCGAGCGUUUCUUUGUUAGUCUUGCUGGCCUCCAAUGUCGUCGCAGGACAGGUAAGUGGUGCUGUUGAAUUCCAAAUUUCCCAGGACUUGGUCAACACUGCUGUAUGUUUGAACUUGAUGACAUAUUUGCGUUUACAGGACCCUCUUAUUGAUUUUCCUGCAUUGCUUGGCGGACGGGGCCUUCACCAAGGCCUUGGAGGCUACUGGCUCAAGUCCGUAACAACAAACCAGAACCGGCGGGUUUACAAUUCCUUGGUGUCUACAACUGCUGUACAUUCAUUACAAGGUCCUUCGCACCCGAGUGGGUUACCUUUUCAAGUACAUCCCGUCUGCAAUUACACCACCUGCUGCAGCCGGCGGACUAGUGACAGCGUCGCGCGCCGCGCUGCCAUAGCUGAAAUACGCUUGGACAAAACUGCGCCACCACCCUUGCUUGCCUGUGGACCCAGCCCAGCAACUGCGGGAGCUGCACCGGCGCCCUGCCACCCGCCGCUUGGGGACCAGCCCGCCCUCCAAGCCUUGCGUACGCGUGUACAGUUGUCACUCCAUGCUCUCCAUCGAACUCUAGCUCAUCUGGGCAAUUCAGCAGCUGCUGCGUUUUCCGGAUCAGGCGCCUUUUCUCCCGCCUCAUGGGCGGCUUUCCUGCCAAUAGGACUAAAGCAGGACAAGCGUCUGCUUGCCCUCGCUCCCGCAGCUCCAGCGCAUGUUGAGCAACUGCUAAAUGUGCCUCAGCACCCGCCGCCGCCAGUGGACACCGCCGGGCCCAAUGCUGAUGGAGCUGCGGACAUAGCAGACGCAUGGCGUGACGUCCCGGUCGACGAAGCAAGCGCACCAGCUGCAGCCCGAUCUUCUUCAGAGCACAACACCUUCAGGUACAAUCUGGAAGCGGUAGCACCAGCGGCGGCAGAGGCACCAGCGGAGGGUCCCUCUGCGGCAUCAGGGACCUGGACGACUUCCAGCAGCGGCUCCCAAGAACCCGACGAAGGAGCCGAAACCAGUACACCACCGCCAUCUGGGUCUGACGACUUACCAAACUACAACAGAGGCGACUCUGCGGUCGAAGAUGACAUUCGUUCCAGGGAUGGGGACCACGACUUCUCAGACGGGCUGGACAUUCGCACCGAGCCCGUCAUCACACAGGAUGACGAGUCCGCCGUUGCGCCAGCCGUGGAGGGGGCGCCCGGGGACGUAGAACCGAUGCCCGCGGAACCGAUACCUGCUGGCAUGGAGUCGUACAGCCCCGGGCUGCGGGCUGAAGAUAGCCGCCCGCAGUCAGAACUGAGCAGCAUGGUUCCAGAAAAGGAAGACUACGUACCGCAGGCAGCAUACUUCAGGGCAGUUGAGGAAGUGGCCGCAAUGCCAAUCGGAACUGAAGGGGGAGGGCGGUGGGGCGGAGAUGACGUGGGCCUGCUGCAGGCGGGAGCGGCAGCGGCAGAGGGGACGGAACAUGCAUUUAUGACGCCGGGCUCGAAUGAUGUGAUUCAGAUCGGGGAGAACACGUCAGUGACAGAUGCAGCGCAAGCAGCGCCUGCACCCUCACCAGUGAAAGCGGAGGUUUUGGAUGCAAGGUCUGCCGCCGAAAAGGCCACUUUGCACGUGAUCUCGGCGGGGCAAUCUAACGAGCUGGGUUUAAGUCCAGAUUGUUCCUUGGAACAAACCGAUCAACGAUUAGCUGCUCAGUCCCCCUGGCAAGAGGACGACUUGGCACUGGUGGACUUGCAAGGGGGGCAAUCGGUGGGACAAGUCCUCGCCUCCGGGGCUGGCGAGCCGACAUUGAAGGUUGCGGUUGCGGAGGCGGCAAAUAAGCCUGCGCCAUGGCAAGUAGCACUGGGGUCUGCUUCACUCUCGCUCUUGUACAAACUGUAUGAUGAUGAUACCGUGCAUGGAGAGAGGAGACGUUUCGCGGCCGACUUGCUCAAUUCACUUGCACGGCGAUCGCUAGCAGUGCAGCAGCAGCUUGCGGCGCCAAGUCACACAGUGGCCGCGGGCGUGGCUGUGGCCGCGGCCGCGGUGCUGCUUGUCGCCUUCCUGCAGAUUAUAUUAUCGGCUCGGGCAGCGCGCCGCCAGGCGCGGGAUCUACGUGUUGCCCUGGAAGGACUUGAAACUCAGGUGGCUGAUGCACGCAGUGACGCGAAACGGCAGCGUGAUGUGCGCGCCGCGACGGUUCGCGCGUUGGCGGUGUCAGCUCGGGAGCGUACAGCAGCCGCGGUGCAGAUCGCUCAGCAGGUUUCGGAGCUGCAGAUUGCGCAGACGGAGCUGACGGCUGCAUUAGUGUCUGCAGUGCGAGACUGGCAGGCUCGAGGGCAGAUGUUGACAGCAACCUUGAGGCGAUGCCGUCGAAGGGCGGAGCGCUUGGCUCAGAUGGCGGCUGUGGAGCGUGUAACGGCGCAGGGGGAGUUGCGGCUCCAAAUGGAGGCGGCGGAACGCCUGGCAGUGUCGGACAGGUUGCGGCACGCGCAGGAGCUAGCGGAGCUGCACCAGCAGAUUGAAAAGGUACGGUGUGUCGGGUGCUUCUCCGCUUCCUUUUCUGUCCGUAAUGUCGGUAUUGCAAGCCCAUUUAAGCCUGUGUUCCCGCUUGCUCUGUGUUUUUUUUAUAGCUGGCGGCCCUUGGAUUGUCCUUGGUUUUCGCACAUUGGCAUCCCGUUACGAGAUUUAAGAAUAAAAAAACACGAAAGACAAUUUAAAGACACUACUUAAGGUUAGACACACAAGACAUUAAAGAAGACACUGGAACUGAAGUGCGUUCUCCUGCAACCUGCUUGCAUCUUGGAACCAACACCCCUCAGGAGCUGGACGCCGAGCGGCAGCGCAACUCAGCCACUGCGGCGGCGGCCCAGAAGCGCUGCGCGCAGUACGCGGCAGCGCUGCGAGAUCAGCGGCGGCGCAAUGGCCGCAACCUGGCGGCAUGGCUAGCGCUGCGUUCCUGGCUUGGGUUGCAAGUAGAGGCACUCUCGGAGCGGGCCACCAAGCUGGUACGUGCCCGCAAGGCGGCGGGAGCAGCAGGGGCUUGCAUGCAAGCGGGGGGCACGCAGGGGGAGGGCGUAAUGAGGAUGAGCAUGCAAUUGCUGACAGCAGUGUUUACUACAACUUCUGCUACACAUUGUGCUCGACGACUGUAUGCGUCACUGUGUGGUCCAACACAACGCCAGUAAUAGAACGAAGCUCCUUCUAUAUAGAAAAUUUCAAAACGAACGCUGUAUGUUGCGAAUUGCUCGGAUAGAACUAGCGACCUCUAAGUUUUCAGUUUUGCGCUCUCCCAACUGAGCUAAAUCCGCCUUGAUGUCAAACUUGGAUUGACUUAGAUUGAACAUAUAUAGCUCUAAUAACAACAUCUGUUGUCAGACCUGUAAAGUACAGGCCCUAAUUUUGUAGUGUCCCAUCAGCUCGCUUGCUUGCUUGGCUUUGUACACAUGUCAACUACCCUUACUUGGCGACGAUGCAAAAUAGAGCAGUGUGCGACAGACUUCCCGGGGGAUGGAGAUCCUGGGGGAGAGGGGGAUGAAUGCCUGGAUUUCCAGCAGCAGGGAUGGAAGGUGUGGGCCUGUCUGGAGCAGUUUCAGGCAUGGCAGGCGAGCUGAUAGCAUUAGCUGGGAAGCAAACAGCAGGAGACAAGGCAAAGAGACUUCGUCUGAAUAGGAAAGGAUGGUCUUAGUGGAUUGAUUACCAUGACCACACUUGUGUAGCCUACGCGCAGUGGCACGGGUUGCGCCAAAACGGGGCCGUGAAUGGAGGUGUCCUCGGCAGCGCCGUCGUAAUCAUGGCUGCCACAAGUCCACUAAUCGUUACCUUACCGUGGGGGACUCAUCGCGGCAGCGCGUAACUUUGGAGACUGACGCAUGGCCGGGCCGCGUGGCUGGCGGCAUCGGGCUACGUGCACAGACGAUGUUACUGGGUGUUAUCCGCAGGCUAUGCUUGGCCAAGGCGCUCUCCAUCAGGCCUUUGCAUCAGUGCAUGGCGACAUUCCGGAUGCGCUGCCUUAAUCUUACUGACACCUCAUCCGUCCCCCUUACCCACCCUUGUAUUGUAACUUGUAUUACUUGCAUGGUGUCCAUGCUUUGGGUUUCGUUCGCACUAUAGCUGGCGUCUUACUCCUGUAUGUAUGUAUGUAUGUAUGUCUCUCCCGCCGUCCCCCCGCCGUCUACCCUGUCCAUCGGCUUUCCUUCAGGCCGCCGAGCAUUCUGCAGCCCUUGAAGAGGCAAACUCCGUAGUGGAGAGACAUCGGAUGCGCGUGGCCAUUGUAAAGCAGCAACUCGCGGAUCAGGUGGGGGCGCCGACGUCCGCAGAUUCUAUUUGUUAUUGUGACGCAAGCGGACGAAUAAAUCUACGCAGCCAGUUUACCGGCAUGGGGGGCUCCGAGUCUGUUCUCUGAGGCCUUUAGGUAGCUGUCGGGCACGACCUUUUGAGGGCCUUUAGGACGUAAGCGGCCAUCGAAACAGAACAGAAGGGGCUUUUCUGGGUCUGGUUUGACACUACUGCAAUUAGCGGUUUAAGGUCCUGGGUUCGAUUCCUGGGGAGACCCCCGAAUUAGUCGGGGGCGCGAGAUUAUGGCUAGCUGCUGAGAUGUGGAGUUGAGGUCACAGUUGAUGGACCAGAUUCGCACGCUGGAUUGGUGGCGAUUGCCGAACCCUCCGUCUCUUCGGGUGUUCGGGUGAAUGGAUGAGGAGGGGUCCCUGAAGGCUGGAUCCGCCGCCUUGGACUUACAGUUCGUAUGGCGAAGUACAGUGUGGUAGUGGUGGAUGGUGCUAUAAGGUGAUAAAUGAUCUAGAACUGACAAUGUGAUAAAGCGGCCCAGAAGCCUCCCACUCUGUAACAUUACAAAAAAAAAUUACAGAAGGGGCUUUUGGAAUGUUCAUGGCCUAGCUGAGGUCGGCCUGUGAAUGGUGGUAUCGCAGCUCAUUGGUUUCACAGAGGGGCCCCUCGCCGGCCCCCUUCAGGGGAUGGUGUCAAUU